rnacentral:lncRNA from 1 species
AGGUUGGCAAACCUUGAGAUUGAAUCUUGGAGAAUAUCUAACUUCUGAGCCAUAUCAUUUUGCAUUACAUCCAUCCUUUAUUCAAAGUACUCUCCAUUCUGUCAAUUCUUUGAUUGAUUUGAGCAUUGAUGGCUUCUUGCUUUCCAAUAAAAUCUCCCACGACCUUGCAAAGAUUCACCAUAGCUUGUUCAAGGAUUGAGGCUUGCUGUGGUGCUUGAGCAGGUUGCUGAUACUGAGGUGGCUGUGGUUUCCAAGAGAAAUUUGGAUGGUCCCUCCAAUUGGAAUUGUGGGUGUUGCAAUCACCAAACAUUUCCCUCUCGGAUGGAAUGGUAGGACACUCAUCCACCAAGUGCUCAUAUGAUCGACAAAUGGCACAAGGCAUAGCUUGCAAUGGUGUUUAAAAGAUGGUUUGCACUUCUUGCAUCUGGUUCAUUUCUAGCUCAUCCAAUCUCCUUUCCAUAGCUGCAAUCUCUGCCUUCAUGUCCAUGCCGUCAUUCAAAAUAUACAUCUCACCCUUAGCUUUAGGUUGAGACGUCAUUCUUCCCAUAUCUCUAGCAUUUGGUUCAUCCCAUCCUCUUGAAAAUUCAGCCACAUAACUCAUGAAGUUCAUGGCUUCCUCUGCUAUGUGGUUCAAUAUGGCAUGCACAACUAGCAAUUUGUGAUUUAAAAACAGAGAACACAAAAGAAAACAAAAGAAAAACAAUUCAAAGAAAGAAAAUUAAGGUAAACUAAAGACUAAAUAAAAGGUAUACUAAAAUAUGAACAACAAAGAAAUAAAAAGGGUUAGUGAAAGGAAAAGAAAAGUCACCAAACUUGUGAUGAAGAUCACAAGUACUCUAGAAAGGUGCAUUGUAAAGUGGCACCAUCCCCGGCAACAGCGCCAUUUGAUUCGUGCCCACUUGGUGUCUCAGCUGAUUCGUGUCCAGCUGGUGCUCCUUGAUUGAGGGAGUAAUCAACAAAAUUUAUAACCUAUUACACCAUGAACUAGGGUAGCAAAGACAAAGCUACUAUAGCAUAGUGGCUCUAGGAUCGUUCACUGGGAUGGGUUUUCACUUCACAAAUGAUAUCAAUUCAAAGCUGAAUUGGUGCCUUUUCAUUUCAAGGUUAGCUUUAAAAGAAAACAUAAAGAUGUUUAAAUGAAAAAGGUUUGGUUUUAAGCUAACAAAAAAUAGUAACUAAUUUUAACUACAAAGAAAAGUGUUUCUUGGAGUUCAGAUCACUAGGCUCGUUCCUCAUACAAAAUGGAGAGUUCCGGUCACUUGUUUAUUUUCCUCGCAUUAGAGAAUUAACAUAUAGUUAAUUCUCUAACCGGUGUUGUACAGAUGCUUCCCAUUAAUGGGUUCAAUCACUAAAUCCCUCUCACUGAUGCAUCUUACAAUGACUCAUACCUCUCACCUAGCACUUGCCAUUCAAGGUGAUCUUUAACCUUGGAUUACCCGUCAAAAGCUUGCAAGAGAUAACUAAUGGAUGUCUCCUUGGAGUCCAAAAGCUUACCAAGUGUUGGCUAUUCUAGAAAAUCCUACCUUCAAGUCACCUCCCAAAGGCUCGCAAGGGGUAAACUAGUGCAUUUCCAUGGUUGGAAAUCACUUGCCUUACCAAGUGUUGGCCCAGGUGAUUUAAAGGCGUUUUAAGUUAACUAAAAACAUAGAAAUCACUAACGGGUCACACUUUCUCUUCAUUAAAAACUAAAACAACAAAACUUCCAAAUUAUGCAUGUGGAAACUUACCCGGCUUUCCUCACUCCAAGAGACAAAAAGCUUAGCCUCUCAUCCUCUGUGGAAAAAUCCUCAAAGUUUGGUUGGCUAGAAAUAAAAAUAAAUGAAAAAUGAAAGAGAAGGAAAAACAGAGCAAGACUCUGUAUAUUCUAUAUAUGAUAUAUGAUUACAGUGGAUGCAAAGGAAUUUAUAUAGAGAUGUUUUUCCAACCUUCCUAACUAAGAAAUCUUAUGGUUCGUGGCUUACAAGGAGAAGAAUGGAAAUUUAUACAAAAAUAUCUGAAGAAAAAUAUCCAAAAGAGUCGGUGCAAAAAUAUCGGGAAGCUCCAGGAACAUUUCGCAGGUGAAAAUGGUGUCUGCGAGAUUUCGCAGACACUCAAGAGGGCUGCGAAAUAUUUUCGCAUCAACAAGUUAUUCUCGUAGGGCUGUGAAGUUGGCUUCCACCUUGAUGUUCUCAGCUUCCAGCUUGCGGCAUAUAUCGGGCAACUUCAGGAGGAAUUCCAUAGCACUGUACAAAAAGGCUGUGAAAUUCUCGCAACAAAAGGCUGAUUUCGCAACACUUUGGAGUGAUCUGCUUGCAAUGGCUGUAACUCCUUCGUUUCAACUCCGAAUCACGCACCGUUUGAAGCAUUGGAUUCUUGACUUCCUGAUCUUUGAAAUGGUAUAUAGAAUGUAGAAAAUGGACUUCGGUAAGUUCUCCAAAAGUGUGAAAGAAGACUGCAGCUAGCUUUCCUCUGUUUUCUUCACUCUGUUUUUCCUCUCUCCAGUGCUCUUUCCUUGCAUACUUUGAACGACUUUGGCAAAGGGCUAUGGAGCUCCAAAGCUUGGUUCUUCAUGAAUUUGAGCUCUUCAUUGCUUUGCCAUGGAUUCCAAAUAACUCUCCUCAAUCUUGGAUUGUUUUGGUGAUCAAAUUACUAACAAAAACACCAAAACUUACACAAUUUGAUUAGAAAUGAUUGCAAGGGUCCUUAACAAGUUAAUUGGGUUAAAAGGCAAUAACUACUACUCAAAAGUGUUUAAAAGGAUUAAUUACAAGCUAUCAAAUAGCACUUUUUGAGUAGUAAUCACCUAUAAUUAGUGGUCGUUCUACCAUCAUUGUUCAUAAAUCGUGGUUACAAGCACAUCAUUAUCUAUUAGAGAAUACAACUAUCGUCCAACCAUACACUGAGUAAGAAAAACAUACCUUUAUCUUUUUAUAAUUUCAUAACAUAAUGAUGAAAUCCUAAGUUUGCAUUCCUUGUCUUUAACGUCAUAGGGAACACAUGAAUUGGUUGAGGUCUCAAUACCCUCGACAAUCUAAUAGACAAAUUUGGUUGCAAGAAGAACAUAUGAGUUGUUUUACAUAUUGGCUUAAAGAAACGGUAAUCUCUUAGUUUUUAGAAAAAUUUUCAAUAUGUUGAAAACAUCACAAGUUUUCAAUAUGUUUUGAUUAUACAUAGGUUGAAGAGGCUAUCCAUAAUGGGCAAGAUAUUCCCGACACACUUAGGUGGUUAGCACAUGGCCCUACUCUCCAGGUAGUCAAAUAUCCUAGAUAUAUCGUUAAUGAGUGUCGUUACCAUAUUAAGAAACGCGAUAUGACAUGCAUCACCCAAAAUAGUGGUGUUAGCAUUUUAGCAAGGACUAUGCAAAUUGCCAAUUCUAAGGAUAAGAACCUAGUUUGUGGUGAACUUUGCUUUUAUGGGGUCAUUAAUGAGAUAUGAAAUCUUGAUUACAACAUGUUCACAAUUCUAAUUUUCAAGUGUGAUUAGGUUGACAACAAGAAUGGUAUAAAAGUUGAUGAACUUAGGUUCACAUUAGUUGACUUCUCCAAAAUAGGUCACAAAUUGGAUCCAUUUAUUUUAGCAUCACAAGCCAAGCAAAUCUUCUAUGUUGAAGAUCAACUUGAUCCUAAAUGGUCAAUAGUUCUCUCAAUUCCUCCAAAAGAUUUCAAGAACAUAGAAGGACUAGAUGACUUCACCAAUAAUUGCAUGGAACAUCACCCCUUUAUAAGUUCAAUGCCAGAAUUUGAAUCAUUUGAUGCUAUGGAUGAAUCAUAGGCAAUACACAUGAGAGAAAACUGUGAGGGCAUAUGGAUUGAAAAUAAUUAAAUAACAUAUUGUACCCUUGAAUGAGAUAUAAUAAGGCAUUUCACUUAUUAGUUUUCAUGAGUUGCACAUUAACUUAGCUUCUAUAUAUUGCUCAUGAUAUAUCUAUAUAUAUUAAUCAUCCUAAAUUUCUUUCAUGCAUCAUAAACAUAUGUUAUUCAAAGGUACCACUUCAAUCUUCAUUCAACUAUCUUUUUGUUGUCCAUAGAACUAGAUUUAUAUUAUUUUUUAUUAUCAUGUUUUGAUUUUAUGCUCACAUAACUUGAAACUCUCAUUCCUAAAUUUCUUUUUCAUUAAAACUAUAAAUCAUAAUUGAAACUAUGCACUAAUUUAUUUUAUUAUUAUCCUCACAAAUAAAUUCUUCAUUAUUGAUAAGAAAUCAAAAAACAAGACAAACUUUGAAAGAAAAUUUCAAAAAAUAUAUUUGUGAAUGACCAAUUUAAUUAUAGAAAAUAUAUGCAAGGCUAUACUAAUCUUGCUUUUGAGUCAUUUUACAGGUUUGUUGGUGAAGUACUAGUUUGCACAUUUACUUGAUAUCUUCCACACAAAUAUGGAUCUAGAAGAAGGGGAAAUGCCAAAAAUAAAGCAUAGAGGUAGUGCAUUGAAACCAAAGAUUGCAAAAAAUCGAAGUAAAGGGAUAAAGCUCAAGAUUGAAUACAAUAGCCUUGGUAGUCACAUUGAGGAAAAUUCAGUUAAACUAAGUAGUUAUCUUAGUACAAUAACUAGUACCCAUGUGCCAAUAAUUAUUGAGAGUUGGAGGAAAGUCCCUAAAGAGACUAAGGAGAAGUUGUGGGAUUUGAUCACGGUAAGCCUAUCUAUAGCUUUAAUAUAUAAUUAUUGUAUACAUUCAUUAACAUGAGCUAACAUGGGUUGCUAUUUUGUAGACAAGCUUUAAUGUGAAUAAAAAAUCCAAGAGGAAUUGUUUCAUACUAAUGGGCAUCAGGUUUCGAACCUUUAAGUAUAAGUUGACAAAGAAAUAUAUAUUGUCUUUCAAGAAUGACCAAAAAAGCUGAAAAAGUCACCUCCUAUUUGCCCAUUCAUACAAGAGGAUCAUUGGAGACAGUUUGUUAAAGAUAGACUUUUUGAACAUUUUAACGUUAAGCAUUAUUUUUAUUACAUCUUCAAUUUUCACAUUUACAUAGUUUCAUUAUGUACUAAUUUUGUGUCUAUAUUUUGUAGGAAUAUCGCAAAGUUCAAAAAUCAAGAAGAGAUAAACACAUUUACAAUCAUUAUCUUGGAAGAAAAUGAUAUGCACGUUUUGAGCAAGAUAUAGUAAGUUAUCAAUAUCCAUAAAAAAAAUGGAGUAUAUAUUUUGUUUAUAGGAAAAUGAUUCUAGUUUUUAAAUAUCAUUUAUUAACUUGAUCAUGUUGAACUAAUGAGUUUUAUUGUUAAAAAUUUUAUAGCUACAAGCAGAAGGGGCUAUUGGUAGGGUUGAUAGAAGUGUUUAUGAAAGAAAACACGUGAGAAGAAAGGAAAGUUUAAUAAGAUUACAAAGCUAAUGAUUAACUAAGUUAGCAUAUUUAUCUCUUUUAGAGCCUAUAAUGUUAGUAUGUCUAUGUGAUUAUGGUUUAGGAUGAUAUCGUUAGGUGUUAAUAGGGAAGAGGCUUAAUGCUAUCAUUUUUAUGAGUAGUCAUGUUCUAUUAGUGCAAAUAUAGUAGCCUAAUUUGAAAAUUAAUUUUGAAACAAUAUACAUUAAUUUAUCUAUUAUCAUUUUUAUUAAAACAAUUCAUUUUCUAGCUACCUUGAAUUGGUCCUCUUGAAUUGGUUGUCUUUGAUUGAUAUGUUAAUCAUCUUCAUCAAAUUAUUACUAAUAUAUGUUUUGUUGUAGGAUGAAUUACUAGAAAAGGCAAGGAGACUGGACUACCUCCACCUGGUCCAAAUGACAUAUUAUGUCAGGCAUUGGGUAAGCUUGAUCAUCUAGGACGUGUGGUAGGUCAAGACCACUUGGUUAGGCCGAACUCAUACUUUCAUCAACCAUUUGAUGACAUGAAAAAAAAUAAUCAAAGAAGAAAUAUGGGAAAUGGUGUGAAAGGGGAUGCAAAAUGCUGUAACAAGACAAACUAUGUCUCCUCCCACACCCCAUUCUGAUAUAGGUAGUAAUAACAUGAGACAACAACUUGUUUUACAACUAGUUGUAGCAAAAAAACCAAUGUUUAAAAUGAUGGAAGAGCCCUAACCACCAGAACCACCACUGAAACGUAAGGUAUACAUUUACUUACUAAUAAUACAAGAUUAAUAUAAGUGAUAUAUAGCCUAUGUAAAUGAUAUUAUUUGUUGUAUUAAAGGUGAUUAAAUAUAAAUUAGCAGUGGAAUGAAAAUGAAAUGUUGUUGCAACCAGUACAUUAAUAGAAGAAAAUUGAUCAAAUGGGUUGGUCGUAAUAAAUGUUGCACACAAGCUAGAUGCUAGACUCCCAUUUCCAAAUCCAUAUGAGAUUAUCAAUGUUGGGGAUUCUAUUGGCCUUAAGCUUGACUGGCCAACAAGCCUUGUCAUACUUGAAACUAAACAUCCUCGGGUAUGUCAUUUUAUACUUGUAGUAAAUUUGAUUGUAACUUGGUAUUUUAUUGUUUAGGAGUAUAUAUUACUAACAUUCCUUCAUUUUUCAUAAGUGUUGGAUAAAGGAAAGAAGUAGAUAGUGAAUGCACCAAUUAUUCGAAAAUCUAAGCCUCAAAAUUAUUCGGUCAUUAAAAAUUUUCAGAAAUUUAUGGAUGGUUGUCUUAGUAAUGAGAAGACAUACCCAAUACAACUCCCCAUUUCACUAUUUGGUGUCGAAUUCCGAACAUAUAUAUCUAGAGAGGAUUGUGAAUACAUUAUUUCAUCUUCAGAGGUGUCAUCAAAAUGCAUCUCCUUCCACUUAUGGUGUGCACCUUUUAUUUUCAUUUGUUUUUAUUUUUUUAAUAUGAGUUGCCCAUGUUGAACAAGAUUGGAUAUGACUAAUGAUAAUUUUCUUUUGGUGUUUUGAUAAUAUAAUAGGUACAUGCAUGAUCAACUACAUAUUGCCAAAAAGGAAUCACAAUUUAUAUUUGUUAAUCCUUUUACAAUAUCAUGAGCAGGCUUUAGUAAUCCUCAAACAGAGAAAAGAACACAAUUGUUGUCAAAACACUUAAUAGAGUGCCAAGAUGUCGGAUAUGUUUUCAUGCCCUACAACCCCGAGUAAGUGACGAAUAUUAUACUUUAAUUUGAGGUUUUAUGAUUGAUUUAUAUUUAUAAUUAGAUGCUACUUUUGUUUUUAAUGUUUUAGCUUUCAUUGGGUCUUGGUAGUGAUUGAGCCAAGGAAAAUGAUAGUCCACUAUCUUGACCCUAUGCAUCACAAACCAUGUGAGGACUUAAAGGAUAUCGUAAACAUGUAAGUUCUUCCUAUUAUUUUUCAUAGUAUUAUUUUAAAAAAAAUUACAUUCACCUCAAACACAUUUUUUAUUGUUAUUUCUAUAUAUUAAAACAUAUAAUAUUUACCUAUUUUAAAAUUGUACCCAUUGAACUUAUUUACAUAGGGCUCUUUAAAUAUAUGCAAAGAAAAUAUCUAAGAGAGAGCCAUCUUGGCAACUAGUGCAAGUAACAUCCAAAAAUUUUCUUUACACAUUUAGCUUAUGCAUUUGCACCAUUUAUAUAUAUGAGUACUAAUGUUAUUUUAUAACUGAUCGAUUAGUGUCCAAGACAAGAAGGAGGGUUCAAAUGUGACUACUUUGUUAUGAGAUUCAUUAAAGAGAUAAUUUUUUAUCCUACAAUGAUUGCUUCAAAGGUAUUACUUAUUUAAUGACUUGUACAUAUUUUUAGGCUUCCAAAUGUUAUGCAUUUUAAUGUUAUUUUCUUAUUUGAUUUCAGUUUGGUGAUAAAAAAAACAUAUUAUCAAGUAGAAUUCAAUGAAAUUAGAGGAGAAUUGACUACUUUUGUGCUACAACUAAUCAUGAAUCAUGUUGAUGCAUCAUGAUCACCAUGCAUGGUGAGUCCCUUAGCUACUACAUGAAUUUUUCCAUAGAUUAUAGUAUUGCUUUUCUUUGAACAAUGUUUUUAUUUGAAAAAAAGAAAAAAAAAAGUUCUUAGAUUUGUUCAUUUAUGAUAACAUCGAUCCAUAUUUAUUUUCUUCAAUNNNNNNNNNNNNNNNNNNNNNNNNNNNNNNNNNNNNNNNNNNNNNNNNNNNNNNNNNNNNNNNNNNNNNNNNNNNNNNNNNNNNNNNNNNNNNNNNNNNNGGUAUACACUCUUAGGAGGGUGGAAUAGAGAAUAAAAAGAACAAAGAAGGCAACAAGAUUUUGGGUUUUUAAAUGCAGCUCGUAUGUCAUACAUUGUAGGACAUAAACGUUACUUUAAUUGGUAGUGAGAAUUUUAGAUUUUUAGAUGCUACUUUUAUGUCAUUUUAUAGUUAGUCGGUUUUAUGCUUAUGAAAUGAAGGUAUACAUGAAUCUUGGGAUGCUUAACAUUACUAGAUCAUGUUUUGGUAUGUAUUCACUCUUCUUUUUUAGUUUUGGUGGGUUUGAUAUAUUGGAUGUACUAUCUUUUUGUGAACAUUUGAUAUACAAAUAUUAUUAGAUGAUCAAUGUAUUACGAGUUAUUCCAUAAACAUUACUGAAAAAUGAGUUAAAUGUAAUAUGAUUGUUAUAUUUAUGGACAAAAUAUACACAGGUUAAUCCUAUUUGUUAAUUCAUAAGCAUUACAAAAAUCUACAACUAAAAGCAAUCAUAUCUUCCAUGAUAAUUUACAAUGAUGUGACACCAUAACUCAAAGGUGAUGCAUUUAAUGUGACAUCAUAACUCAAAGAUCAUGCAUUUAAUGCGACAUCCUAUCAUCACUAGAAAUAUAUGAUGUCACUUUCGAAUGCGUUACCAUUUAUCUACUUUGGUGUCACUUACAAAUACGUCACCAAUUGGUACCCUCUAUGGUGUCAGUGGAGAAGGUGACACUAUGUUGUAGUGACACCCUAUGUUUAUGGUGACUCGUUAUAAAUGUCACCAUAUAUCUUUUUUCUUGUAGUGCAAAUUACUUAUCUUACUAUGCAUUGGGCUUUGAUAUUAGCCAGAGACAGUAGUGGCUCCUAAUUUUUAUCCUUAACUGAAAUGAAAACGUUAAGCAGGUCCCCAGCCUCUUUUUCGCCAUUCUUCCACUAUUCUACUAUUUGGUCCAUGAUUGGAUCAUGGUACUUGUUAAUGGUGUUCAUAGCCUCCCAUAUAGUCUUUUCAUGGCCAUCUAAAUUCAGCACUCUCUGCCAUGGGAAGUAAUCAGAUAAAGAGAAUACAUAUAGAUGAGCAAGUAUAGUAAAGAAGGAUUCAACAUGUUGCUCCACUUCAACUCUAGGGCCUCCAUCUUUCUUUCGUUCGCCAAAGUAUCUUGUGUUGAGGAUCAUCUUUCAGAUGACAUUCCCGUUGUAUUGACGGACUUUAUUUCUGUCACACCCCAAAUACUAGGCAACCCAGAACUUGACUCGUGGCCCUAGGUCAAAGGUUUGACCCUAAGAGUUACUCUUAUCCAUGUUGGCAAUCAAUCAAAACACCCUAGAUUUUUUUUCUUUUCAAUAAAGCGUUUAAUCCUAAAUAAAUUUAUUAAGCUAAGAUUUACUAUAACAUAUCAUUUUAUUUUUCCAAAACUAACCAUCACAUUAUCUCCUGUUCACAAGUAUUAAAAAAAUAAAAUUCCACCAAUCAUCUUCCUACCCAAAAGCUCAAAUAUUUACAAUAAUCUCUAAGUCAAAAAGAAUAUUUCCAAAAAUGUUUUACAAACUAAUAAAAUAUAAUUUAACUUAAAAAGGUCCAUAUAACUCAAAUUAGUAGAUGUCAAAAAGGUAAUUAAAAAAAAACAACAACCAUUAUUAUGGUUUUUUUGCUUUUUAGAACACUUCAUGAUCUUCUUAUGGUCCCUUAGAAACUAUAUCUGCAUCUAAAAAUUUUAGAAAAUAAAGGGAUGCACAUUUCCACGUUACUCUUUAGACCUAGACGAGUUAGAAAUUCUAGGUCAAUAAAACACAACCAUAUGCCAAAAUAUAAUAUUACAUUUACAUUAUACACACUAAAAGAAACCUCAACCAUACAAAUUUAAAUCAAUCAAAAUUAUCAUUUUCCUUAUUUAAUCAUAUGUUUAGCAUAUCAAUAAUUUUAAAUUUACAAAAUAAAUAAGUCACUUUAGUCUUGAAUAAUAUAUUCAAACAUACACUUGAUAAAUAAUACAAAUCAUUUUUCCAAAUGCAACCAUGAUACAAAUGCUUACACACAAUCGCGCAAUGCAAUAUCGUUCUCGGGCUUUCACCGAAGGAUAUGCAUUUAUACCCAAAUACACUCCCCAUUCGGAGUCUUCCUGGGAUAAACUUUUGAGUAUUUCACCCUAAGGAUCUCACUCCCUUCUUAACUCACCAUCUCUAGGGUCAUUCAAUUUCUUAUUUUUCUUUUCUUUUCAUUUUUGCCAUUUUUGGGGUCUUUUCAUUCUCAUUUCCAUUUCACACAACCAUUUCUUUAAUUUUUCUUUUUCUUCACACAAUCAUGAUGCAUAUGAAAUGCAAUUGAAUCAUAUUUUAACAUACAUAAUUUUCCAAGACAUAAUUUUAUUUACUCCCAUUAUGUUUCAUAAUUUCCAAUAAUCCACACAACGAUUUUUCUUCACUUUAAUCGUCACAAACAUAAAAGAAAAUUCACAAUUAAUUUGUAUAGCAUCAAAACAUAGUUUUAAACAUUGACCACAUAAAUUCUAUUUAUUCCCGACAUGCUUAAUAAUUUCCAAAUCCAAUAUAACCAUUUUUUUUCAAUUAAAUAAUCACACAUAUCCAAGAAAAUUCUCGCUAAUACAAAUAUCAACGAAAAUGUAAUUUAUGUCAUAAUUUAUUUGUCUCCAAUAAUUUCAAAAAUUUUGACACCCAUAUGACAAAUUUCCACAAUUAAGCCACCCCAACAUUUGGGAAAAAUUUUCCAAUAAUUCAAAUAUCAACAAAAACCCAAUUUAUAUCAUCAUUUUAUUUAUUUUUAAAAGCAUUAAUAAUUUUAAUAAUCAAUACAACACUUUUCCACAAUUAAGCCACCACAACAUUCUGGGAAAAUUUUCCAAUAAUUCAAAUAUUAACAAAACACAAUUAUACCUUAGUUUUUCUUAUCUCCAACAACAUCAAUAAUUCUUAGUACUCAAUACAACUAUUUUUAUUUUUUCAUAUUUAAUCUUCUCAAACAUUACCAAAAUUCCAAGAAAAAUCUAUAAAUCACGAAAUAAAAUUAUUCACAAUAAUAAUCACACUUCAAAUACUACAAAUAACAUCUAUUAUAUUUCAACAACACAAUAUAUAAAUUUUUUUGAAAGAAAAUAUUAAAUCAAAGUUUUAGGGUUAAAUCACCCUACCUUAAAUUUGAAAAUUUUAACCAUUAAAACUAAAACGGGACACCGUAGGAGUGUUCCUUGCAUUGAAUAGAAUAUCCUUCCAAAAUUUCAUGCGAAAUGGACGUCAUUUGGUAGGUCCACCAGCAUCCUAAAGCUGGCGACCCAUUUUUCCCACUCUUUGCUGAUGACUCCCCUACAUCUCUCACUCGAUUUCCUUUCUUCAUUUUCUUUUCUUCUUCUUCUUUUAAACUCCCACGCCAAUUUCACUUUAUAUAUAUAUAUAUAUAUAUAUAUAUAUUAUUAAAACAAAUCCUAAAAUACCACGCACAUCCAUUUCUCAAUAAAUUAAAACCAUUAUUCUUAAAUUCAUCUUCCGUAAUUAUGAAUUAUACCAAACUUAUGAUUUUCCAUUUCACGAAAAAUACCACCGUAUUCGUAAUUUAAUUUACUACAAGUCUACUCUUCAAAAAGUAUAAUUUGAUUAUAAUUACAUGAAACAUUGUUUUUUUACUCUAAAAUUCAUUUAAAACAUGAUAUAAUUAACUAUUAAAAAAAUUUAAUUCCAUAAAAUAUUAAAAACAUAAAAUAAUUUUUUGGCAAUCAAGAAGUUGAAAUUUGUAAUAACCUUUAACCUGUUAAUUUUACCUAUAUUUAUUUACCAACAAAAAUUUAAAUAAUAUUCUAAAAUUUAAUUCCAUAAAUUAAUUAGUCAUUCAAUUUAUAAAAAUCAAAUUCUCUACCCUUUGGUAUAACUUUUAUUUAAUUUACUUCAUUUUUCAAAUUAUUCAAUCGCAUCAAAAUUUCAAAAGUUAAAUUCACUAAAUUCACAUUUAAUUAAUUUAUCCUUUUGUAUUUUUUUUUUCUAAAUUCGCAUAUCAUAAUUUAAUCUUAAUUUAAUUUUGAUUCAAUUUUGUUUUAUGUUUUCUAAUUUUAUGAGGUUUAAUUUCAAUUAUAAAAAUUAAAUUCAAUUUCUUUUUAAUUAUCCAUUAUCACAAUUUGAUAUAAUAUAAUUUUUUAUCAAGUUUUUCUUACUACGAUUUUUCUUAUAAUUAUCCAAUGAUAAUUAAAUUAAUUCUCAUAACAUAUUUAAUAUUCAAAUUUUAAAAACUUAAUCUCAAUUAUUUGAUGGUUAAUUUUUUUCUCAAAAUCUAAAUUUAAUUUAUGAAAUUCUCACUUCUUACAUCUGACGUGGCAAAAUUUUCAAACUAUUGACUUUUGACCAACUUUUCCUAAAUUUAUCCUAAUUAAAUACUAACACAUGGAUUUUCACCACUCUUUUUGACCUUUUGACCCACAAAUUUAUGAAAGACUUUAUGCUUGGAGAAUCUACAAAAACCUGGGUAUUACAAUUUCUCAGGUUGAUAACUGUCGUGGUUACGAAGCCACCACUUGAAUCCUCAGUCGCCAUUGUAAUGGGCCUGGAUGCAAAUAGUACAUCAUGUUUCUUCAAAAGUUCUCUGCUAAUCUCUGGGAAAGUCGUAGGGACGAAAUGAAAUAUUUCCCAAUUGAAUACAUGCAAUUUUAGUGUUCAUUUCUUUCAUAAAGCCAAUGUAUCCACCAGAAAGUUGGCUUUUUGUUGAGUAAAUGAGGUAGAUAUUGCACUAGUGGCCAUGGAGCUAAUCCUGGAGGAAGUUGUAUCGGCUUGCUUUUGGUACUUGUUUUGGAAUUUAAUUUAGUGAAGAUGAGAAAGAUUGAUGUGAUGAAAAGCAAUAAGAGGAAGUUGAGAUGAGACAACACAUCGUCUGUGGUAGUAGAAGAAAACAAGGUUGAGUUACUGCUACUACUCUCUGCAACAAAACCAUUUACACGUCUUUUAUAGCAAAACCAUGUUUGUCCUAUCUUGGGUCUGGAUGCACAUUUUUAAUAUUGGGGAUCAUGCAACCAAAUGUCACACACAAAGAGAGAGAAAAAAAUACGUUUUUUAGAACUUGAAAAGGUAAAAUGGGACAAAAAAUAUUAUCCAUUCUUGAACUCUAAAAGUAAAGUUAUAAAAAGCUUAGGUGGUGUUUGUUUUUUUACUUAAUUCUAAAUAGAACCUUAAUGCUUAAUAGUGUUAAAUAUUAGGUUGUUUGUUUUUGUAGUAUUUUAUUUCUAUUAAGUAUUAAAAAGUAAAAAAACCAAUAUGUUAUUUUUUCUAUUAAGAAAAAGUUACAUAUUUUGACUUUUUCUAUUUAGUAAAAAGUUUAUAAUAAGUCAUGAAAAAGUAGAAAAACAAACAACUUAAAUUUUAAAACUAAAUUGCUUUCAGCAAAAAGCCAAAAAAACAAACACCACCUUAGUUUUUUUUUUUUUUUUUUUUUGUUAUGUAUGAUUACAUGAUUUCCCCCUUUUAAGAUUUUAUCUCAUAAAAUUUUUUUUCUAGAAGGUUCAAAUAAGUUUGAUGAAUAUUGUUUAUUUUAGUAAUUUUAAUUUUGUGGGGUACUUAAAACAUUAGAAGUUCACAAAAAGCAACAUUUAUCAGCUACCUAUCUAAAAAGCUUGGCCUAAUCAUUGAAAUCCAAAAUAUAAAGUGACAACACACUUUUUAAAGCAAUUUUCAAAAUAGUUUUCAAAAACACAUUUAUUUAUGAUAUUUUUAAAAUAAAAAUCUCAAAAAUAACUUGUUUAUAUAGCGUUUUAUUAGACAAAUACUUGAUCUUUAUAAGAUCACCCUAAUUAUAGAUUUAUGAACAUGUAACACAACAAUUAUCUAUAUAUAUACUUAGAAUUAUUAUAUUUUAAGUUUUUAACUACAUAGGACAUCGUGAGUUUUUCCACCAUUUAUCUUAUAAAAAGUUUAUUUAAAUAUGAUAAAGGAUAUAUUAUCUCAUUUCUUAUUAUAUCUGAUGCUAUAUAUAUAUAUAUAUAUGUAACAGAUCAAAUACAAUUUAAAGAUUUUAAUUAACCAUCUAUUAGCAACAAAGCAAUCUCUUAAUCUCAUUCAUAAUAUUAGGAUAAUUUAGUAUUUCCUUUUAUAAAACACUAGCAUAUAAAUCAACACAAAUCAUAUUAAGGGUGUAUUUGGUGUUGAUUUUAGGAAGCGUUUUUAGUAUUUCUAAUACUUGAAAGAUAAAAAUUUUCAAGUUUUAGAAAGAUCAAAAGCGCUUUUUAGAAUGACUAUCAAAUACAUGCUAAAUAUUACUUUUGGAUACUUAUAUUUUUAAAUAACUCUUAAAACUUUUAAGGCAAGUCUCUACUAUUUAUAUAAAUCCCCUAUUAUUUUUAAUUUUUAGAAACAAAAAAUAAAGAAUAGAAACUCCAUUUAAACAUCACCUUAUUAUUUCCUAUUAUAAAAUAACACAAAUCAAAUGAAUUAUUUAAAAAUAAAUAAAUAUAAAAUCAAAGUUGAAGAGAAAAAACUCUUGUGCAUUAAAAAAACAUCAAAAUAAAUAAAUAAAUAAAACAUCAUCAAAUAAAUGUAAAAAUAAAUUAAUGUUAUGGAAAAAUGAGAAUAGGCAACAAGAAAAUAAGAACACAGAUUUACAUGAAAAAUGCUAGACGGGAAAAACCAUGGAUAGAGGAGAAGAAAAUCCACUAUAUUAAAAAUUUGGUAUAAAAUGUGAGAGAAUCAAGCGACUAUUGUAUAGGCAUAAUCACUAUGACCCUAAAUCCUAUACAUCAUCGCAUAUGUAUGGUGUAUGCGAUAAUAUUUGUGAUAAUAAAAAUAUUGUCACAUAAAAUAACUAUGGGAUGUAAUAUUUGUAAUAAUAUUCUUUACAAAAAAAUAUUUUUUCUUUGCUUUAUUCACUUUGAUCACAACUUGAAAUAAGACAAUAAAAAUAUUUUCUUAAUUUUUGAAAAUUAAUUGAGGACUUAGAGCUACUUGUUACUGAGUGAAUUUGCUGAAUGGUGAAGAAUGCGUGUAUAGUAGUUUUGCAAUUUUUCAAACUUGUAGACAUAUUUUGUGAAGUCUUUUUCUCUUUGUAAAGCCCCAUUUUCUAUGUGAAGUUAUUUUUUCAAUAUUCUCUUUGGAAGGAAUUUACCAUUAGUUAUAUAGGUAAGAUUAAGGAAUUAAAUUUGGAAUUCUUAAGAUUUGAUUACUUAAUUCAAAGAAUUUGGUUCAAGGGAAAUUUGCCAACAAAAUAAUAUUUAAUUUUAAUUCUAUGAUGACUUUAAUUAUUUGAUAUAAUUUUAUUUUGAAAGACUUGAUGUGGGGGACUCAUCACUUAUUGAGUCCAAAUUUUGUUGCACCCAAAUUUUUAUGAGCUAAGAAACCAUAAUUUUAAAGACCAAUUCAGUGGUAAGUAAAUCUGCUAAAAUCUUCUAUGUACAAAUGACCUCACUUCAAGGUGCAACACAUACAUGUAUUAUUAUGUGUAUGGGAUGAGUCUUGAAGUUAGUCUUCAUUCUUCUUUGAUUUUUUUUUCUUCAAAUAAAUAAAUAAAACAUCAUCAAAUAAAUGUAAAAAUAAAAUAUGUAUCAGUUAAUUGGAGAGGAGAGCUUUAAGGGCAUUUCUUCUAUGAAAUUCUAUGCUCCACGUACCAUAAAUUUGUACUCAACCAACAAAAUUACAGAAUGGGUCCAUGCACAAACAAAAAUAACCCAAAUGUGAAUAUCUAAAAAUGUAUGAAGUUCACAAUAGAUAUUCAAGCCCAAAUUUAAAUUUCAAAUUAGUCCAACAGAUUUCAUUAAUCAAAAUGGGUCCAAAUUAGCAAAUAUAACCCAACAAAAAUAUCUCAUAUGUCAUAGGCCCUAAUUUAAAAUUUUCAAAUUAAUAGCCAAAAUAUAAGUUCAAUUAAUCAAACCCAAAACAUGAUAAAUUAAAAUAAAUCUCAUUAGGCCUAAACUUAAUAUCCCAUAAUUCAAGCCUAAUUUAAUAUAUAAACCUAAAUCCACAAUCAAAAUCAACCCAAUUUAUGCUAAUCCCGAUUUACAAUCAAAAUCAAACAUAAUUUAAUAAGUAAAUAACUAAAUAAAUUAAGCAAACUCAAAACACCCAAACCACUACAACAUAAAUCAAACAAUAAUAAAUAUAAUGACAACAAUAAUAAUAAUAAAUAAAAUAAAAUAAAAUAAAAUAAAAAUAAAAAAUUUAACUCACGUCGGAGCCAGUUUGAAUGUCUUAGGAAAGAAAGAAAAUGAGAGAAAAGUGAGAGAUGAUUGACAACUGACAGUGGCUCACUAGCGGCAACUGGUUAGUGGUCCUACCGAUGGUAGUGAGGAUUGAUUGGUUUUUGGGAAAAAAAAUAAAAUGAAGAAAAGAAAAUGAGAAGUAAUAAAAAAAAUGGAGAAAUGAGAGGAAGGUGGGAGAAGAAUGGAGAGAGAGAACGUAGAAAAUGAGUGAAAAGAAAUGAGGCUAGUUGGAGGAGAAAGUGGUAGUGUGUGAGCUAAAGUGAAGAAUAAUAGAAGAAGAAAAUGGAGAAGAAUGGGGAAAAAAAAAUCCGUCUCCCUAAAUGAAGAAAGGUGGGUAGCCUAAAGAAGAAGAAAAAAUAAAAUAAAAUAAAAUGGGGAGAAAAUGAGAGGGGGUCGGUGGUCUUGCGAAUGAGGUGGUAUGCGUUAGAGAGAGAGAGAGUGGGUGGGGUUGUUGGGGUUGUUGGGGAAGGUAUGAGAGAGAGAGGAGAGAGAAAAGAAAAAAAAGAAAGAAAAGAAAAAAGAUAAUAUAAAAUAAUAAUAAUAAUAAUAAAAUAAAAUAAUAUACAAAAUAAUAAAAACUAAUAAUUAAAUAGUGAGUGGGCAAAAAAUAUCAUAUGUAAUCAAGAUUUAAUUUUAAGAGUAAAAUUGGGUUAAAAAUUAAUGUAAAAUAAAAUUGGGAUAAAUUUUGGGGUAUACAAAUAUGCACCUCUUCAAUAGAGUCCACGAGUAAAGCAAGUGUAUAUGUGAGCAAAACAAAGUGGGCUCUACUGAAAAAUAAGAAAGACCACCAAAUUUGUCUUAAUAUGACAUGAACUCUCCCAAAUAAAAAAAAUAAAAAAUCUAAAACCCUACAAAAAUGGCCAAAAUGGAAACUCCUAAGGUGCCUCUAAAGUUAUACUAUGGAUCUAGACUCCCUUAGAAAAGCCUCCAAAAAUGGCCCAAAAAUCGGUGCCAAAAUCGAGUAGCAAUCAGACCACUAAGGAGCACAUGAACGAAUGCAUACAAAGGGAAAAAAACCAUACGUGUACCAUACGAUGACAAAAGGCAUAAGGUAUCCAACAAUAUGACUGAUUCACGUGUUACGAGCUUAAAGAACUUUGUCAUGCACCAUGGAGGAAGGGAAACUCUAGAAUAAUGUGAUGAGGAAGUUAUUAGCACAAUGUAACAGAGUGAGGAAAAAAGUGAUGAGUGCAAAGCUGUGAGGACAAAGUGCACAAUGCUAAUGAAUAUGAAAUGAAUAGCACUAGGCUAUAAUGCAAUGAAUAGCUCAGGGUUGUACCAUAAUGAACAAGUCAAGGAUGUGUAAAGAUGAGGAACAACUCAAGGUUGUAAUGCAAUGAACAACUUAGGGCUAUGAAUGCAAUGAACAGCUCAGCUCAAUGAAUGAAAUGAAUAGCUCAGGGCUGUGAAUGCAAUGAACAACUCGACGUUGUGGAUGUAAUGAACAACUCAUGGUCAUGGAUGCAAUGAACAGCUCAGGGCUAUAGAUGAACAACUCGGGGUUGUGGAUGUCAUGAACAACUCAAGAAUAGGGGCACUAUACACCCAAAAUGGGAGAUCACGGUCUACGAUUCCAAGUCAAACCACUAAAGGGUGACCAAAAUGAGGGUGAUCAACUCACUAAAAAAGAUGAUCAAAAUGUCUUAAGGGAGAGGAGAUGCCCCAGAUGAAACUUAAAGGAAAUGAGUAGUGCUAAUGAAACUAAAAAAAGAAAAAAUGUCACAACUGAAAUUGAAAAAAUAGCAAACUUAGAUUAAAGUGCAAUGAACAACUUUGGGCUGUUGCGAUGAGUAGUACCGUGUUGUAAUGAAAUGAAUAACUUUAAGAUAUGGGCAUUGUACGCCUAAAGAGGGAGAUAGUGGUUUACGACUCCAAGUCAAACCACUAAAGGACGACUAAAAUAAGAUGAUCAACUUACUAUAAAUGAUAAUGCAACUAUCUCGAGAAAAAGGGUAUGCCCCAAAUGACACUCAACAGUAAAAGAAUGACACAAAUGAAACUAAAACAAGAGGAUGCCACAAAUGAAACUGAAAUGAUAACAGACUCAGUACUAAUGUGUAAUGAACAACUUUGGACUAUGGAUGCAAUGACUAGCACUGGGUUGUAAUGAAAUGAACAACUCUAAGAUGUGGGCACUAUACCCCUAAGAAAUGAGAUCAUAGUUUACGACUCUAAGUCAAACCGCUAAAGGGCGACUAGAAUAGGAUAAUCAACUCACUAAAAAUGAGGAUGCAACUAUCUCGAGAAAGGGGGUAUGCCCUAAAUGACACUCAAUAGUAUAAGAAUGACAUAAAUGAAACUAAAAUAAGAGGAUGCCACAAAUAAAACUAAAAUGAUAACAAACUCAAAACUAAUGUGCAAUGAAUAACUCUAGGUUGUGGAUGCAAUGAACAACAUUGGGCUGUAAUGAAAUGAACAACUCUAAGAUGUGGGCACUAUACGCCUAAAGAGGGAAAUCACGGUCUACGACUCCAAGUCAAACCACUAAAGGGCGACUAGAAUAGGAUGAUCAACUCACUAAGAAUGAGAAUGCAACUAUCUUGAGAAAAGCGGGAUGCCCUAAAUGACACUCAAUAGUUAAAGGAUGACACAAAUGAAACUAAAACGAAAUGAUACUACAAAUGAAACUGAAAUGAUAAUAAAUUGAUAACUAAAGUGCAAUGAACAACUCUAGGCCGUGGAUGCAAUGGACAGCUCAAGAAUAGGGGAACUGUUCGCCCAAAAUGGGAGAUCGUGGUAUGCGACUCUAAGUCAAACCACUAAAGGGUGGCUAAAAUCAAAAUGAUCAACUCACUAAAAAUGAGGAUCUGAACAUCUCAAGAAAGGGGUUAUGCCCCAAAUGAAACUGACAAUAGAGGGAUGCCUUAAACAGACUGAAGAAAGAAGGAUGCCCUAAACAAAUUAACGAAAAAUGGAUGCCCUAAACAAACUGACGGAAGUGAAAUGCCCUAAAUAAACUGACCAAAGAAGAAUGCACUAAACAAACUCUGAGAAAAAAAAAAAAAGAAGUAUGCAAUAUAGAAUCAAAAACACCUAAAGCAAAAACAAGAAACAAAGAAUGUGGUUUACAACUAGAAACACCCAAAAGAACCUUAAAGAAGUAACUGGGAUAAUGAACUUAAUGAAAAUGGGGUAUGCCACAGUAAAAGACUCGGAAGUAUCAGCAAAUGGGUCAAACGACCAUGAAAUCAAUAGGAGAUAUGAUGAACCCAAAAAGGGCAUAUGCCCCAACAAAAGAACACUAAAAGGGGGGUAUGCCCCGAUAUGACGACUCACAAUAAUUAAGAAAUGGAUCGAGUAAUGAGAAAAUCUGCAAAAUAUCCUAUGAACUCAAAGAUGGGGGUAUGCCCCAGUGUAAAAUAGUGACCAACAUAAGACACAGAAUGUCACCAUACAAUACACUCUGGGAUAUGCUCAAUGUCAAUGUAAUGAAAACAAUAGCCUCAAUCAACAAAUGUUCAAGCAAGACCAUGCAUCACAUAAACUAAAAUAAUAGGCUAAACAAAUGCUAACCAAGUCUCUCAAUCUGAAAUGUAAGCAAGUCAAGACAUGACAUGCCAACCAUCGACAUGAAAACAUCAUCACAAAUACAUCAACAAACUAAUAGUCCCUACUAUCAUGGAAGAUGUAGAACCUAACGUCCAAAGGCAUGUGAAAACUCAACCAGAAAGCUCAAGACUAGUUUGCAUCCUCCUCUAAUAAAAAGAAUGAGAUAAGGUCAUGUAGGAUGAUGAAAUAGGCAAGCUCAAUAUUCGUUAGGCUCUACCAAGAUGGAUGUAGGUAUAAUAGUGUCAAAGGUAGGAUGUCUAGAUUUCCAACGAAGGAAACUGGGUAUCCAAGUCAAACCAAGUAUGUUGAGGAAACUGAACCCAUAGGACAAUAACUUUAUGAUCCAUUGAAAAUAGCAAUCAUGAAUAGAAGGUCGAGUCUCGAUGUCAAAAUCAACAAGGUGGCAUUGCCCCAGUAUGAAUACAUCUUCUCAAAAUGGGUAAACCUUUAGUGCAAGAUAAUCUCUAGAAAGUGUGUGUCUAGUAUAAACUGUCAUCUCACAAAAUUUAUCACUGAUGAGUGGGCUAUACCCCAGUGUAAGCAUUUCCAAAUCAAACAUCGAUGAGAGGAGUACAACCAAUCAUACAUAAUAUGAUCAAAACAAAUCUCCACUCCUCAAAGUCAUCAUGGUAACGUGAAAAGAGUAUCUAACCUCAUUUAAAGAAAGAUCAUGUCCCAAUGUGAAAAAUAUCAAGCAAAGUGGUAUGUCUCAACAAAAAUGCACUCUAACAUGAUCAUGCCUAGAUGUAAGCUGGUAUCUUUAAGAUCAAUCACCAAUGAAAGGGUUAUGCCCCAGUAUAGGGCAAUCUCUUAAAUGACUAAAAUCCGCUACAAGCUCUCACAAGUGUCUAUGUCAUGAACCAAUCAUCUCAAAAAAUAAAUAAAUAAAUAAAUCUAUCAACAAUGAUGAGAAGGUUAUGCUCCUAUAAUCACACCAAGAAAAUCACCCGGUCAUAUCUUGUACUCCAAUGUGAAAGGAAAAUAUGAUCACCUCCAAAGAAUGGCUAUGCCCCAAAAUACAUCAUCGAUUGAGAAAUAUGCCCCUACGUAAAGUACAUCAACUGAAAUAUGCCAAUCAUGCCUCAUGCUCCAAUGUGAAAAAUGACGUAUAAUCUUCUUUGAGGGAUGGUCAUGACUCAAAUCCAUCAUCAGUUGAGAGAAGUAUGCCCCGACAUAAUGGUCAUCUAAAAAAUCAAUCCCCGACUAAGAAAUAUGUGCCUUGAUGUGAUGUAUCAAGCAAAAUGGCUGCAUACCCCAUAAAAAACUCUCUAAGGUGGCUAUGCUCCAAUGUUGGAUCAUACCACAACUCCUGGUCUAUCACAAUCAAAAUGCUGUCCAACCAAUCCCAAGUAUCGCCCACAUGAGAGCUAUCAAACACAAUGUGUGAUGUCAUGGCCUCAAGGUGGUCUUAAGAUUCGGAACGUAACGUAGGCUAGGGUAAUAAGGUAAAGAAAUGAAGGAAAACUAGGCUUAAUAAUCCUAAUGAUAAAACCCCAUACCUUAUGUAUAAAAUGCAAUAUGUGCAAAGAGUCUCAUAAACCAUGGAUCUAAGGACACCCAAUAUGAAUAUAUCAGUGAGGAAGAAAGAAUCUAAGAUGAAUAUAUCAAUGAUAACAGAGAAGAAAUGAAGAAUAUUAAACUGUUGAUGGGAUGUAUAAGAAUGAUGUAUGGAAAAUAUUGAACAUGGAAUGUAAAUUGAUAUGAACAAAGAACAAUGUAGGCAAGGCAAAUGUGAUAUCAUGAUAAGAACAAAUAAAUCGAAGAAAAAUGAAUGAACACUAAUCCACUCAAAUCAAGUCAUGGAGAAUAGUCAAAUCACCAACGUAUGUAAUGAUGGAGAAGACAAUGAUUCAAAGUCCCUAGGAAAAUGUCACUUGUUUGUCACACAUAAAAUACAUAACGAGAUAGACACAAAAAUAUGAGAGUCUUUUGAAAGUUCACAUACGAACUUUCAUAAGCAACUAACUCAAUAAAGCAACCUCAAUGACCAAUAUAUACACUCAAUAAAGGAUGACACUGUAUACAUGUGUUUAUUACUUUUUCUUUUCAUUUUGUUUUUCAUUUUUUUCAUUUUUGUUUUCAUUUUUUUUCUUUUACUCGCGCAUACUCUGAAUAUCAAUAAAUGAACUUCUCUGAGAAUACAUAAUGAAAUGGAUAUACUCUCAAACAAUGAUGUCAGCGAACUCUCUCUGACAAGAUGACCCUCUAAAUUAAGGAUUUUCGAACUAACGUCCAUGAGAUAGGAGUGGAAGGGGAUAUGACCAUCCUUCCUGCACCGAAAUGUGAAAAAUCAUCACUCAGGGCACAAAAAAAUGUGAUGAAAAAAAAUAAAAAAAUGAAACAAAAGAUAUAAACAAUGAAGUAUGAUGAAGACUGAUGUUGGGAAGACAAAAAAAAUUGUGAAGAAGGUGAGCCAAUAAGUCCUCAACUCAUGAAACUCUCGAAUAAAAUAUAUAUACACCAAAAAACCCUUAUCCCGGUGUAAAAUGUGAGCAAGGAUAUAAGAAAGAAAAAACUAUGGUGCUCAUGUGAGGUUCAAAGGGCUAGCAACGGUCCAAAUGUCAAUAAAGGUAAUAGGGUGUGAGCUAACCAAAAUGAAGGCCACCUAUGAUGGUCUGAAACAUCAUGCUCUUAAGCUUUCAAUGAUCAAUACUGAAAAUCGAUGUCAACCCUUUGGAAUUGUGCGCCAAACCAUACUCCAAAUGCUCCAUAAUAAUCUCAAAGAUAAUCCUCUCAAAGCAAAGUAAAUAGCGAUCUCAUAAGGCACAACUACUCAUCACAAGCCAACUCUCAUCAUGCAAGAUCAAUCUCUAUUUUCAUGGAAAAAUAAGUGACAAUCUCAUCAGGCAAUCGACGAAUCCUCACAUCGUAAACCAACCAAAGAUCAUAAGUCAUUCAUUGCCAUGCAAGAUCAAUCCCAGGCUCAAACUCCUCAUACUCUACCUGGUUGGAUUAGAGAAGAAAUGGGCAAAGCUAGAAAAACUGAAGAUGGAAAGGUCAUAUAAUGGUGUCAAGGGUGAUGUUGUGCAAAACUCACAAUGAAUGGAUGUAGGUCAAAGAAAAGUCAAUGUGUGAGAGUGAGUAAGGCACUACUCUGAUCAUAAGAAGAUGGGUCACAAUCUCAAACUCCUAAGGUCAAAUCUUCGAUCCUAGGCUAAUAAGCUCAACAUCCUCCAUGAUAGGUCAACCCCCAAGAUCACAAUGUGCAAAUGAAUAGAUGCCUCAAGUCAAAAGUACAACACAUCAUAUGAUAUAUGGUCCUACGAUGACAAUCUAAAACUGGAAAUAUGUUAGAAACUCUAAGGUCAUAAAGGUGUCCACUGUGAGAUGACUACAAAUGUGACUAAGGAAUCUUUAUCAAUAAUCCAAAAAAUGAAUGAGGUGUGAAAAACAACACUAUCAUGAGAUCGAUACCCCAUCAAUAACAAAAUAUCUCUAAUUCACUUUCAAUCUAAGCUCUAUAAAGAAAAACGAUAAGGUUAUAAAGGCAAACCUCUCAAAAAUGGUGUGAAUGUGAAAACAUGUCUUCACCUUUCUAUAAUGAAAAUAUCAUGUUGAAAAUAGAAAUAGGCAAAUCAACCAAAGAAUGAAGCACGGAGCCCAUGACAAGUGAAGAAUGUAAAAAGGUGAACAUGAUCAAUGAACAUAUCCCAAAACAUUAAGCAUAAAGUGACAACAAACCGAAAGAAUGUGUCAAUUUAAGAAAAGAAGACUAUCUGAAGCCCUAGGGAGAAAGUGUGCUAGACUCAACGAGCGACAAGAAGAAACUAAAACCAUAUAGCAAGGGGUGGUCCAACUGAUACUCAAACUCGUACCAAUAUCUAAGCACUCUCGACUGGAGACCAAAAGAUGGAGUAUUGGAUCCAUAUUGUGACUAAAGUGGCCUCGAAGGCUCUCAGAUGCACCCACGUGUAGGAAAGGAAAUCCUAAUGAAAAUAUCUAAGGCUUAACCUACAAGGUCAAGGCGGCUCUCAAAAGAAAAUUUGAGUAGACUUUAAAGGAUCCCUAGCAAAAGCGAUCAUACCCUCCGAUGGUACACAACCUCCUACACGUCUUGAAAUAUACGGGAGUGAUUCCAUGCAAGGUGGUCAUCACCUCCACACAUGCACUAUCUCGUAUCCUAGAGGGUUUCCUAAUGAUGAAGACUCUUACAUCUCUCAACACUUAGUGGUAAUCUAAGGUGCACAGUGAACGGUGUGGGUUCAUCCAAAAAUCCUAUCAAGCUAAGCAAAGAGAAAAAACAUUGGUCACACAAAUAUCCUGAAAUCUAGCUCUAACCUAUACAAGUCUUCAAAGAUUAGACUCCAAUUAGCAUUAAUGUUUCGACCUUCUCUAGAAUGCUCCCAAACAUAGAUAUAGUCCAUCACUAAACCCUACUCCGAAUCACUAGCUCGGUCAAAGAGCAAACAAAGUAAUAAGUCUCAUAUCAAAUACGAGAUCAAGGGGAACAUGGUCACCCGAGACUAGGGAAUUGAAGGUAAGGGGAUAGAUGUGUGUCCCGCAUAGAAAAGCAACAUGCAUCACACAGAAGAAGAAUAGUCAUGCAAUAGACAACCAAGCAAAGAACAGGUAUAUCAUUCAUAUCUACACACAAGCUAAACAAGAAAUAGGUAUUUAACAAGAAUAAACAAUAUGUUGAGAUAAACAAGAUAAUAUACGAUAAAGAGAAUCAAUCACACCAAUAUGAAUGAGAUAUACAAAAAUGAGAAUAUACAUGUCAAGGAGAGCAAGAUAAUCAUACAACAAGAAGAGUCUUAUGUUAAAGCAAGCAAGAGAAUCAAUCGAUGUAGUCAACAUGUCAAUAUCUCAAAUGAACAUAACAACCAAAUAUGCAUCAUAAAGAAAAAAUGGUAAUCAUGCAGCACACAGUCAUACAAAACAAAUACAGACAAACAUAAGCAAAUAAAUGUAAACACACAUGAUAACAAAAAUCAAUGUAUAGUAAGGCACAUGCAAUAUAUACAUAAAAUAAUCAUCAAGUCAACACUCAUAUACCUUAAAACAUGAAAAUAUACAAUAAAGACACAACGAGAGGGUAUUCACUGAUCGAUUAAUCAAACGCUACAUUUCCCUUAACUCGAGUUCAAGUUUGAUCCUUUAAAUAUCCCUAGUGAAGUCGCUAUUUUGUGGACCCACAUUUUUCAAAUACGUCCUUACACAACAGCGAGACUCAUUUUUUUUAUUUGGUGAAAAUUUGAUUUUUAGAAAAAAGACUUUGAGUCGUCACUUAUUUUUGUUUUUUUUUAAGGGAAAACAAAACAAGAAAGAAAACCUUGUGUGACUCCUUAUUUGGGAAAGACAUGUAUGCAAAAACCAAAUCUGGAUUCGGGGGUUAAGUUCCCUAUUGAGAAUGUACGAUGGUGAGCUGUAGCACCUCUCUAAGCUCAUAUACGUAUGGUCUCUACUAAACGAAUUAAGAGAAUUGUAGUAAUUAAUUAAUUAGUCAAGGAUACCAAGAAAAAGAAUCGCACAAAUGAGUACGUACAAAUCAUGAUAAAAAAAAUCAAAUUAUAAGAAUAGACAAAAUAAAUAACAAGAGAAUUGUGCAAAGUGAUUUAUUAAACUAAAUAAAAAAGAAGAUAUUAAAAAAAUUAGUUUUCAAGAAAUUUCAACGGAUUUUAUUAAAAUGAUUUUGAAUUAAUGAUUUUUAUUUAUUUAUUUACAAAAAAAGUGUCAAUUUAUUUUCUUCAAGUGAUUUGAUUCAAUUUCAUUUGUAUUCAAUUUUUUUUUUUUAAAAGUUAUUUACACUCAUGGUUGUUAAAAGAAUUAUUCACAAAAUUUCAAGUUGACAAUAAAAAUGAUUUUUACUUGCUUUUACUCAAAAACAAUGAAUUUUUACAAUUUUAUUAACAAAAGCAUUUCAAUUUAAGAAAAGUGACUUAAACAAAUUAUUAAAAAAAAUAUAACUUUAUCUGCAAAAGAAUUUUUAAUUAAAAAGAAAAAAUUUAAGUCAUCUAUUUCUAAAAAUGACUUUUAAUCCCAUUUUAAUUAAGGAAAAUUGAGUUAUCUAAAAAAACAUUUUUUGGACAAUUUGAAUAAAAAUUAAUUUUUGGGACAACUUUAUUUACAAAACAAUUUUUGGACAAUUAUUAUUAAAAACAAAAUUUCAAAUUCGAUUAAAAACAAUUUUUUGGAUUUUUCCAAACACAUUUUUAUGAAUUUUUAUUAAUAAAAAACUUUUUUUUAUUAAGAAGAAUAUUUUUUGAGCUAUUAUUUUAUUAAAACAUGUUUAUUGAAUUAUUCUUCUUCUUCAAACAAAAUUUUUAAUUUGUUCGAUAUCCAAUUCUGUACACAACAAGUAAAUAUAUACAAACAAAUAUUUAUAGAAACCAAUAAAAAUAAAACCAAAUAGAAGUGAGAAAUAAAACAUGUACUUAAACAAGCUUACAACAAGCUCAAUGUCUUCUUACGACUUUUCGAGUUUCACUUUCUUUCAUUAAAUUUUAUGCUCCACGUACCAUAAAUCCGUACUCAACCAAAAAAAUUGCAGAAUUGGCCCAUGCAAAAACAAAAAUAACACAAAUGUAUAAAGUUCACAAUAGAUAUUCAAACCCAAAUUCAAAUUUCAAAUUAGUCCAACAAAUUUCGUCAAUCAAAAUAGGUCUAAAUUAGCAAAUAUAGCCCAACAAAAAUAUCUCACAUGUCAUAGGCCUUAAUAUAAAAUUUCCAAAUUGAUAACCAAAAUAUAAGUUCAAUUAAUCAAACCCAAAACAUGAUACAUUAAAAUAAAUCUCAUUAGGCCUAAACUUAAUAUCUCAUAAUUCAAGCCUAAUUUAAAUAUAAACCUAAAUCCACAAUCAAAAUCAACUCACUUUAUGCUAAUCCCAAUUUACAAUCAAAAUCAAACAUAAUUUAAUAAGUAAAUAACUAAAUAAAUUAAGCAAACUCAAAACUCUCAAACCACUAUUGCAUAAUAUCAAACAAUAAUAAAUAUAAUGACAACAAUAUUAAUAAUAAAAUAAAAUAAAAAAAUUUAACUCACGUUGGAGCCAGUUUGAGUGUCGUGGGAAAGAAAGAAAAUGAGAGAAAAGUGGGAGAUGAUCGUUAGCUGGUAGUGGCUCGCCGACAGCGACUGGUCGAUAGUCCUACUGGCGGUAGUGAGGAUUGAUGAGUUUUUGGGAAAGGAAAAAAAAAAAAAAGAGGAGUAAUAAAAAAAAAAUGGAAAAAUGAGAGGAAGGUGGGAUAAGAGGGGAGAGAGAGAAUGAAGAAAAUAGGGGAAAAGAAAUGAGGCCGGCUGGAGGAGGAAGUGGUAGUGUGUGUGAGCUAAAGUGAAGAAGAAUGAAAGAAGAAGAAGGAGAAAAAUGGGAAAGAAGGGGAAAAAAAUUCGAGCCCUCUAAAUGAAGAAAGGUGAGUAGCUUAAAGAAGAAAAAAAAAUAAAAUAAAAAAAGAAAAAAUGAGGAGAAAAUGAGAGGGCCAGUAGUCUUGGGAAUGGGGUGGUAUAAGUGAGAGAGAGUGGGCGAGGUUGUUGGGGAAGGUAUGGGAGAGAGAGGAGAGAUAAAAGAAAGAGAAAAAAAAACAUAAUAAUAAUAAUAAUAAUCAUAAAUAAUAUAUAAAUUAAUAAAAAUUAAUAUUUAAAUGAUGAGUGUGUCAAAAAUAUUAUAUGUAAUUGGGAUUUAAUUUUAAGAGUAAAAUUGGACUAAAACUUAAUGUAAAAAUAAAAUUUGAACAAAUUUUAGAAUCUACAAAUACAUUCUUUAAUCUUUCCACAACAUCAAUCUGAUCUAAAUGAAAUGCAAUAAAUUCUAAAAAUGAUACAAUCUUUAAUCAAUCCACAACAUCAACCCGAUCAAAACUCAAUGCAAUAUUGCUUAAUGGAGAGAAUCGUAAAAUCCUUUUAUGAGAGGAAAACAAAACCCUUAACAGACCUUUAUGAGAGGAAAAUAGGAAAACAUAGAACUAAAAACCCUUAACGUAUUCAUGAGAAUAAAAAAAUCCUUAACACCUUAAUAAGAGGAAAACAAAGAAUUUGAACAAUCCUUAAUCCAUCAAAAGCUCUUAAUAUGAACGAGGGGAAAACAUAACCUUUAUUUUUCAUAUCGUUGAAUACAGAAUCUAAAGAGAUAGAAUUUUUAGUUAUUAAGGAUUUUUUAUAGAUGUCUAUUGAAAGUUCAAGAACUUUUAUGGAUAAGUGUUAAUUAAGAGACUGAAAGGGUACUUAGGAUUUUCAACUAAAAAAGUUAUAACAAUAUGAAUCGUAAGAACUUAAAAACAUCACCCAUCCAUAAGAGGAAUAUGGAAUGAGAGGUUAUAUUUUUACUUAUACAACAAUAAACUUUUUUGGAAGAGGUUUUUCUAAGUACAAAAAGUUAUGAAUAAAAAACCAUUGUUACGAUGAGUUAACUAAAAUAGAAUUAAUUUAGAAAAUAUCAAUAAAGUUGCAUGAAUUAUUAUCAUGAGUUAACUUAAUAAGAAUAAAUAGUAAUAAAGUUAAUGAGGUGAAUUUGGAUUGGCAGAUAUAUUUGAUGAUAAGAUUUUUUUAAUAAUAAAAAAUUAUUAUGGCAGGAAAAAUAGGACAAAAUUGACCUUAUGAUAAGAUUUUUUUAAUAAUAAAAACAUUAUUAUGGUAUGAAAAAAAGGGACAAAAUUGGCCUUNNNNNNNNNNNNNNNNNNNNNNNNNNNNNNNNNNNNNNNNNNNNNNNNNNNNNNNNNNNNNNNNNNNNNNNNNNNNNNNNNNNNNNNNNNNNNNNNNNNNUUUUCUAAGUACAAAAAGAGUUAUGAAAUAAAAACCCCAUUUGUUACGAUGAGUAACUAAAAAUAGAAUUAAUUUAGAAAAAUAUCAUAAAGUUGCAUGAAUUAUUAUCAUGAGUAACUUAAUAAGAAUAAAUAGUAAUAAAGUUAAUGAGGUGAAUUUGGAUUGGCAGAUAUAUUUGAUGAUAAGAUUUUUUUAAUAAUAAAAAAUUAUUAUGGCAGGAAAAAUAGGACAAAAUUGACCUUAUGAUAAGAUUUUUUUAAUAAUAAAAACAUUAUUAUGGUAUGAAAAAAAGGGACAAAAUUGGCCUUUCCUUAAUUGUACCGGUUAAUGGAAUAAUGGGACAUGCGGUGGUUACAAGCCACCCCAAAAGGUAGGAAGAAUCUCCAACCCCCAUUCUCGGCUCCCUUAUCUUUUCCCUUACAACCAAAAAUCAACAACUAUCUUAGAAUGUCCUUCAGUCCAUCAAAAUUCAACAACAACAAUUAUACAUUACAAUAAUGAAAACAAAAUUGAUUGAUCACCAGCUAACAUUAGGAGAUUAUAAGAUAAGGAUGUAAUUGCAAUUAUUGAAAUCACUUAAAGAGUAAAAGUUAGGAACAUGCUCACAAUAAAUAAAAUCACCUUAGAAUUAAAAAUUAGGGACAUGAUUAUGAUGAUUAAAAUCACUCGAGAACUAAAAUGUUUUAGAGAUACAAUAAUUGAAAUCAACUGAAAAAUAAAUUCGGGAUGUGAUCGCAAUUAAUGUAUAUAUAAACAACCAAAUGUUGAAAGGAAAAACUAAUGAAAUUAAUAUGAUUUUCUUUUAGAUUUCUCUUGACACCAAACAAAUGUAAGGAAGUUUAUAAAGGAAAAUUAGGUUUUGAUUCACUAAAUUAAAAUAAUAUAGAAAAAAGAUCUUCAAAUUUUAUAUACCAGUUUUAUUUUUAUUUAUUUAAAAAUAUUUUAAAAUACAUAUAUUUUUUCAUAACUCAAAUAGUCAUUCCUCAAAUGCUAGUUUUACUUGUUAUGUUAAUAACACUAGUUAAUAAUUUUUUAUUGUGAGAACGAUUUAAGAUUAAUAAAAUAAGAAAUUUUUAAAACUAAAAAGACAUUUAAAACUUUAAAAUUAAAAAUAUAAAAAUAAAACAAUAAUUUUUCAUUUAGUAAAACACGCCAGUAGAAAAUAUAGAUAUAGAGAAAGAGUUGGAAAUAAAAUAAGAGUUAAUAUUUUAUUUUUAAAAUUUUAUGUUUUUUAUUUUAAUUGUAUUUAAUUUUAUGUAUUUUAGUUGUAAUUAUAUUUUUAAUUUUUAAUUUUUUUUUAUUUUAUUGUUGAUGUAAACUAAUAAAUUUUUUGUUCAAUUAUAUAUAUAUAUAUAUAUAUAUAUAUAUAUAUAUAUAUAUAUAUAUAUUUUAAAAUUAGUGAGUAAAAACCCACUUUUUCUAAUUUAUAAUAUAUUUAUGGGAUUUUAUAAUAUAAGCAAUUUUUUUUUUUUUGAGAAAGAGGAAAAAUCAACUUUUCAAUUUCCCUUAAUAAUUAUUAUUAUUAUUAUCCAAUUUGGCUGAUUAUGAGAUUAGUUCGUAUCAUUACUAUAUCCAUUUGUUCUUAACCCUUCAUUAGAAUAGUAUUAGGAGUUGAACGUCAGUUGGAAUACAGGCUUAUGGAAACAAAUCUAUCCGAUUAGUAGGUUCUUAUUAUUUUCAAUAUAGCCCCAUAAAAUAAAUAGGAGAUGGGCAGCCCGUCCCUUUUGUCUGGAGGCCAUCCUCCCAACUUAUUAAAGGUGAUAUGAGAUAAGACAGUGACAAAAUUGUCGGUUACUUCCCGACACCUGGCUCUCCACAAGCAAACCCAGUGAUCCAGAAAUUAAUUGGUACCUGGACACGUGACUAACAAACCUUCGCUCAUCUACCAAACCCAUGGCCUCAUGCCUUAUAUAUUUCCACAAACCUAGCUCAAUUUUCAUAGCCACCUUCACUAUCCUAUACUCACUAAGCCAUGGCCAUAGAUACAAGCCUCUUGCUUGAGUUUGCUGCAGCAACUCUACUCUUCUUCAUCACCCGCUUCUUCAUUCGUUCUCUCCUUCCCAAACCUUCCCGGAAGCUCCCCCCUGGCCCCAGAGGGUGGCCGCUCCUCGGCGCUCUUCCUCUUCUAGGUAACAUGCCUCAUGUUGCAUUAGCAAAGAUGGCCAAAAGAUACGGGCCUGUCAUGUUCUUGAAAAUGGGCACUAACAGCAUGGUGGUGGCCUCAACUCCCGAGGCGGCUCGGGCUUUCCUUAAAACGCUAGACAUUAAUUUCUCUAACCGCCCGCCUAAUGCCGGUGCCACACUCUUGGCCUAUCAUGCCCAAGACAUGGUUUUUGCGGAUUAUGGGGCAAGGUGGAAGCUACUGAGAAAGCUAAGCAACUUACACAUGCUUGGUGGGAAAGCUCUUGAGGACUGGUCUCAGGUCCGAGCUGUUGAGCUAGGCCACAUGCUUCGAGCCAUGCUUGAGUUAAGCCAGCGAGCGGAGCCGGUGGUGGUGCCGGAGAUGUUAACUUUUUCCAUGGCCAACAUGAUAGGUCAAGUGAUUCUAAGCCGCCGGGUGUUUGAAACAAAAGGGUCGGAGUCAAAUGAGUUCAAGGACAUGGUGGUGGAGCUCAUGACCACUGCUGGGUACUUCAAUAUUGGCGACUUUAUUCCGUCCAUCGCAUGGCUGGACAUCCAAGGGAUCCAGCGCGGGAUGAAGCAUUUACAUAGGAAGUUCGACCGGUUAUUAACAAAGAUGAUGGAGGAGCACACGGCGUCAGCCCAUGAGCGAAAGGGAAACCCAGAUUUUCUGGACGUAAUCAUGGCAAACCAAGAAAAUUCUACAGGGGAGAAGCUCACUAUUACCAACAUUAAAGCACUCCUCCUGGUAUGCAUAGUUAAAGCUCGUCUUCAAUUUUGUUUUCCGAUAUUUUCUUUCCGGAAACAGCACUUUUAUUGCUUUUAGAUAUGUACGUUUUUAUCAGGUAGCCAUUUUAGGGGCACAUCACUAUUCUUUAUUUUUGGACUAUUUUUUUCUUUUUCCACUUGCAUGGUUGUUUUCAUAUGCUCAGCUGCAUGGCACAAGAAAAUUGUGAAAAAUGAUUGGUUCUCUGAUCAGACCUUCAGCACCAAAACACGCUUUUCUCUAUGUUAUAAAAUCGGUUUACAUGAUUUUUCAACCAGCUUCCUUGAACUUGAACUUUUGCUAGGGCUAAUGCAAAAAAUGAUUGAUCUCAAUUUUCAAUAGCGUUUGAUUACAUAAAUUUCAAGUAUGUGAACAUAUUUUUGUUUCCUUGGCUAGAAUUUAUUUACUGCAGGAACAGACACUUCAUCGAGCGUAAUCGAGUGGUCUCUGGCUGAGAUGUUGAAAAACCCGAGCAUCCUCAAGCGUGCUCACGAAGAAAUGGAUCAAGUGAUUGGAAGGAGCCGGCGGCUCGUGGAGUCUGACUUGCCAAAACUUCCAUACCUACAAGCCAUAUGCAAGGAAAGCUUCCGGAAGCACCCAUCCACACCACUGAACCUUCCUCGUGUCUCAACCCAGGCAUGUGAAGUGAACGGCUACUACAUCCCAAAGAACACUAGACUUAGUGUGAACAUAUGGGCAAUCGGGCGAGACCCUGAUGUCUGGGAAAGCCCGGAAGAAUUCAGGCCAGAAAGGUUUUUAAGUGGAAGAAAUGAAAAAAUUGAUCCUCGUGGAAAUGAUUUUGAGUUGAUCCCGUUUGGGGCUGGACGAAGGAUUUGCGCUGGCACUAGAAUGGGAAUAGUGCUGGUUGAGUACAUUUUAGGGACGUUGGUACAUUCAUUUGACUGGAAAAUGCCGGAUGGAGUUGAGAUCAACAUGGACGAAGCUUUCGGGCUUGCGCUGCAGAAGGCAGUUUCUCUUUCGGCCAUGGUGACACCAAGGCUUCACCAGAGUGCGUAUGCAGUCUGAGCUCAAACCGCUCAGACCAAAACCCAGGCCUCGCUGCUAUAUGGCAUGGAUGCAGUUAAGUAGAAAAUAUUUUGGGAUUUUUGCCUGUGGCUUAGUAUAAGAUGUAUUAGCUCAAAGAUGGUCGUUUCAUUCUACCACCAAGCCAUAUGCAUCUAUGCAUAAUCUAUUGAUUUAGGCUCGAUUUGGUUAUAGUUUUUGUUUUUUUGUCUUCCAAAUCAGUAAAUAGUAGGGGUAUUUUUGUCCUAUGUAGUGAUUCUUUUUGUUUGAUUGAUUAUAUUUGGAUCCUUCAAAAAUAUACGGUCAGAGCCAUCUCCAUCUUUUCACUUCUUGUGCUGCAGAAUGGGAUUGGCUUAGAUCGUUAGUCUAAUGUUAACCCCCUUCAAAUCUAAUUAUUCAUACUCAAUUUUGACACGAAAGAGCCAUUGUCAUGAAAGGGGGACCAGGGACCUCAGCACCCUUGGUUCAUCAUUUUGGUACGAUGCCAACUCUACCACAUAACCACCAUUUAGAUAUCUAUCCUUUUAUUUUUGGCAUGUGAACUUAUAGUGGGUGGCUGACCUUGAAUCCAAUAGUUAUCAUGAUAUAUAUGGCUGAAAUUAACCAUCAUUUAGAUAUCUAUCCUUUUAUUUUUGGCAUGCGAACUUAUAGUAAGUCCGAUUUAUGUCCAAGGGUCAAAUUUAAAUCUCUCUUCAAUCUAAUGGCUAAGAACUUCCCAACUUUAUUUAAUACUUAAUGUAUCCAAUAAUUGUAAUCGAGUAAUCCAAUGACAAGUACCUUCAAUGAUUAUUUUGGCAAAAGAAAUAAUAUAAGUUUGUUAUUUUAUGAUAUAAUAAAUUUAUUAAUACUUUCCUUUUUCAAAAUAUGUAAUUAGUUGUAAUUUCAUUAUAUAAUAUAUAAAUUAAGUUAUUUGCAAUUUUAAAAUAUGCUCAUUUUGUAUUUUUUUAAGUGUUAAUUAAAAAUUAUACAAUUUUGUUUUAUAAAAAGUAUUUAGUACUUUUAAUUUUAUAAAUUACAAGCAUUAAUUUAUACUAUUUUCUUAAAAUAUUUAGUUUAGUAUGCAUAUUAUUAGUUGUUUUCUUACAUCACUACUACAAAAAUAAUAUAUGAUGUCACUAUUUAUAGUGUCGCAUUUAAAAUAAUGACACCAUUGAACUUAAAAUUUAUAAAGGUGACACAUCAUUUAAAAAAUCUUCAAUUAGGAUAGUUAGAUUAUGCUAAUUUCAGAUUUACGGUGUCAUUUUUUGGAAGUGACACCAUAUGAAAUAAAAAGUUUUAAAUUUUAUAACUCAAUGGGCCUUUUUUAAAAAUAGUGAGUAGGAACAAUUUAUGAAAAGUCUAUUGUUUCCAUAUAUACAUUAACUAAUAUAAAAGAUCUUGUUGCUUGACCCUAACCAUCGUUUUCUUCUCCUUCUUCUCACACCCAUGGUCAGCACACCCAUAAUUGAUAUUCUUUGCUUCGUAAAAUCUCGGGUAAGUCAAAAUCUCUUAUCUAUCAUCUUUAUUUUUUUUAUUAAUGCAAAAAACUUUGUUAGUAUAAUUGUUUUAUAUCUCUUGAUUUAGUAUAUCUAUGAUGUGGGUUUUGUAAAUGGUGUUUUUUAUCGAGUUCUAAGGAAGUAAAAACUAAGUUUAACAUUCUAACAUAUUUUUUGUUUCAUUGCUAAUAAGCCCCAAAACAAAUGAAAACAAGAAAAAUGAAUUAUUUUUAAAAAAUUUGUCUAAUUGAGAAUGAGAGAUACACUAGUUUGUAGUAAUUUUUCGCAUGAAAUAGUAUUUUAUUGAAGACUUGACUAUAUUUGAUACUUUUUUCCACCGUGCUAGGAGCUUUUUGGUGAAGUCUAACAAUAGAGAUUGAUAUCUGCUACAAGAUGAUACUCAAUUAAACCAAAAGCACUUAAGUUAUUUAGGGUUUUCUUCGGUUAACCUAAGAAAACAUUCCCACUUUCUUUGUAUUGAGUCAUCUAAAUAGAAUAGAAUAUUGGGUAUCAGAGUCGUAAAUGGUAUUAUAAAUAUGACUUUUUUUUUAGAGUCACCUACAUGGAAUGAAUUAUUGGUAGGUGAACAAAAUAUUGGGGUGAUUGUAAUAGUUGAAUUAGUAAAUGGAAGAUAAGUGUAUGUUGCUUUGUUUAUUCUAUAAAAACAAUAAUUUUAGUAGUUGAAAUUUACAUGCUUUGUUGUUUUAUAAAAACAAUAAUUUUAGUAUUUGAAAUUUUAAAAUGUGAAUGAAAUGCCUGAAAAUAUAUUUUGAAAAAUAGGAUAGUAAUAAAUGGAAAAUAACUCAUUUCCUAAAAAUAUUUUGAUAAAUUAAAAUAAUAUGUGGUUAAAAUAUAUUUUUGUGAAAGUAUUUAAAAAUGAAUCAAAAUAUAAAUAAUUGUUAUUUUUUUUUAAAAUAAUUUAGGAAUAUAAAAUAAUAUUGGGGAUAAUUUUUGAGUUUAAAUUGUGUUAUAAAUGGUUAAUUUUUUUAGGACUGUCCUUUUUGAAAAUAAUCCAAUGAUAAUUUUUUUAAAUAAGAAUGUUGAAACUAAUUUUAAAAAUAAAAUUUUGUUGGCAAUGAUUUUUCUAAAAGUAUUUUAGGCAUAAAUGGAAAUUUCUUGUAUGAAAAUAAGAGAAUUUAUAUAUAUAUAAUAGACAUAAAAAUAGAUUUCUUUGAUAUUUAAUAAACAAGUGAAUUUUUCUCUAAAAAAAGAAUAAAAUAAGAAUUUCUCUAUAUAAUAAAAUAAUUUAUAUAUGAGAUAGUUUUCAAUAAGAAAGUUUUGAAAAUAAAUUUGGGAUAAAAUAUUUUUUAGUAAGUUUUGUUUAGAUAAUUCAAGAAUAAAGUGGUUUAUUAACUUUUCUUAAAAAAUAACAUUCUUCUUUCUUUUUUGAAUUGAUCAAUAGUUUGGAAAUAAAAUUGUUAGAUUCUAUUUUUUGUAAAUGUUUAAGAUAUUCUAAAAAAUUCUUUAAAAAUGAAAUGACCUUUCUACCACAUUCCUUUAAUAAAUAAUUGUAUUUUUAUACAUAUUGUAAAGUAAAAAAAAAAGUCUUUAUUUAGUUAACCUAAGAAGACAUUCCUACUUUUCUUUGUGUUGAGAGUCACCUAAAUGGAAUAAAAUAUUCAAUAUCAUAGGAGAGUAAAAAGUAUUGUAGAAAUGAUUUUGUUGAGAGAGUUAUCUAAAUGGAAUGAGAUAUUGGUAGGUGAAUAAAAUAUUAUGGUGAUUGUAAUAGUUGACUUAGUGAGUGGAGGAGAAGUGUAUGCUUCUUUGUUUAUUCUAUAAAAACAAUAAUUUUAGUAGUUGAAAACGUGUAUGAAAUGACUGAAAAUAUUUUUUGAAAAAUAAGAAAAUAAUAAAUGGAUAAUAGCUCAUUUCCUAAAAAUCUUUUGAUAAAUUAAAAUAACUUGUAGUUAAAAUAUAUUCUUAUGAAAGUAUUUAAAAAUAAACCAAUAUAUUAAUAAUUGUUAUUUUGUUUAAAAAUAAUUUAAUAGUAAAAAAAUAAUACUGAGUUCAAAUAUGACUACUUUGUUAUGAGAUUCAUUAAAGAAAUAAUUGUUGAUUUUACAGUUAUUGCAUCAAAGGUUUUACUCGUUUAAUGAAUUGUACAUAAUUUCAUACUUUCAAUUAUUAUGAUAUUAAUGUUAUUCUCAUUUGAUUUCAGUUUGAUUACAAAUAAAACAUAUUCUCAAGUAGAAUUUGAUGAAAUUAGAGAAAAAUAGAUUACUUUUGUGUUAUAACUAAUCAUGAAUCAUAUUGAUGUAUCGUGAUCAUUCAUGGUAAGUCCCUUAGUUGUUAUAUGAUUGAAUUUUCCAUUGAUAUUGUAUAACAUUACUUAUUCUUUACGAACUAUUUUUAUACCAAAAUGAGAAAAAGGAAAAAGAAAAAGAAAACAUUAGUACUUAGAUUUGUUUAUUGUUUAUAACAUCACAUUUUUAUUUUCAAUAAGAACUCUAAAACUCAUUAAUCUAUGAAAUGCAGGUAUACACUCUUGGGAGGACAAUAUGAAGAAUAAAAAGAAAGGAGAAAGAGACAACAAGAUUUAGGUUGUUAGAUAUGACUCUUAUGUCAUACAUUAUAGGACAUAAAUGUUACUUUAUUUGGAAUUGAGAAUUUUGGGUUUUUGGAUGCAACUCUUGUGUCAUUUUAUGGUUAGCCGGUUUUAUACAUAUGAAAUGCAAGUAUACAUGAAUGUUGGGAAACUUAACAUUUCUAAAUCAUGUUUUAAUGUGUAUUCACUUUUCUUUUUUAGUUUUGGUGGGUUUGAUGUGUUUGAUGUACUAUCAUUUUGUGAACAUUUGAUAUACAAAUAUUAUUGGAUGAUGUAAUAUGUUACAAAUUAAUUCAUAAGCAUUAUGAAAAUAUAAGUUAAAUGUAAUAUGAUUAUUAUAUUUAUGGACAAUUUACACAGGUUAGUCUUAUUUAUUAAUAAGCAUUACAAAAAUCUACAAACUAAUCAACAAAAAACAACCAUAUCUUCCAUAAUCAUUUACAAUGAUGUGACACCAUAAAUUAAAGGUGAUACAUUUAACGUGACACCAUAACUCAAAGAUGAUGCAUUUAAUAUGACACCUUAUAUAUCUCAUACAACUCUAUAUCAAAUUAAGCAUCACUAAAAAUAUAUGGUGUCUCUUCUGAAUGUGUCACCAUUUAUCUGCUUUGGUGUCGCUUCCAAAUACGUCACCAAUUGAUACCCUCUAUGGUGUCAGUGGAUAAGGUGACGCUAUGUUGUAGUGACACCCUAUGUUUAUAGUGACUUAUUAUAAAUGUCACCAUAUAUCUUUUUCCUUGUAGUGCAUCUCAAGUUUCAAUCAAAAAAAUAUUUAUGAUUUGUUUUUAUUAAUUUGUGUCUUGUUUUCAAUUUAAUUAAUGAAAAUUUAUUUGAUCAAAAAGUUCAUUACAAACCAAUUUUAAAAAUCUAAUCCUUUAUUAUAUUUUGAUAUCGUUUUGAUAAAAAUGUCUUUAUUAUUAUUAUUAUUUUUUUUUUUAUAAAAAUAAAUUUUUUUAUAAAUAUAUUGUAAAUAUUUAAAAUAAUUAAAAAUAUUUAGAUCAAAAAUCGAUUAUUUUUCAAACAAAUAUAUGAAAGUGAUAAAUUUGCAAAUAUGGGGAAUAUUUAAUCCUUUUAAUCGAUUAUUUCAUUAAUGAAGUGGGUAUAAUGAUGAACGCAUACUUGGUUUUACUAGGGCAUGCAGAGGUUUUGCAAGAGAGAGAGAUCAUUUCUCGACUCUGAGAAAUCAAUCUCCUUUUGGCCCGGUGGCGGACUCCAAGUAAAGCCUUGAAGGAGCCUUGCUAACAUCCCUGCACACCCACGCCUUCCAGUACUGAAGGAAAUGAAGCGAAGGUUUGGCUCGUUCAACUCCACUGCUUGAACUGUACUAGCAUUCAGAUGCCGCUCUGGAUUGAAAUUUAGCGGUUCUUCCCAGAUUCUAGGGUUCCGGCCCAGCCCCAGACGGCUCAGAAGGACAUGACUGCCUUUGGGGAUAGAGUACCCAGCAACACUAGUCGGAUUCCUGAACUCGUCUAUCCUUUCCAACCACUCCAUCAAUUUCUUCACUGCUUUGCUCAAAAUCCCUGGUUGCUUGAUCAUUGCCUACUCAAUUGCAUUUGAUGGACUAUCGACGCCUGCAAGCAUCAACUCCUGCAAAUUAUGGAAGGAUCAUAAUCUGAUGAUUGAUCAAGUUAUUUGCUGGCUAGGAAAUGAUCAUCAUGCAAUGUAGAUCAAAAGGUAAGCACAACACUACUACAAAAAUAAUUUAUGGUGUCAUUUUUAAAAUAAUGACACCAUAGGGUUUAUAAUUAAUAAAGGUGAUACAUCAUAUGAAAAUUCUUCAAUUAAGGUAGUUAGAUUAUGUUAGUUUUAUAUUUAUAGUGUUAUUUUUUGGGAAGUAACAUCAUAUAAAAUAAAUUUUUUUUUAAGUAUUAUAACUUAAUGAGCCCACUUUUAUAAUUAAUAAUGAGGGAUAAUGUAUAAAAAGCCCAUUGUUUCCACAUGCCACCCAUAAUCCAAAAAAUCUCAGUAUACAAACCUUAUAUAUAAAACCAUAAUCUUCUUCUACCUUUUCUCUUACCUAUAGUCAAUACACUUACAACCGACAUUUUCUACUUUGUGGACUCCUGGGUAAUCCAAAUUCUCUUAGAUCUAUCAUAUUUUUUUUUCUUUUAUUAAUAUAAUUAUAUUGAUUGUUUCACCAUCUUUGUAUUAUGGUUUUUGUAAACUGCGUUUUCUUGAGUUGUAGGGAAGAAAAACUUAGGUUUAAACUUCUAGCAUAGACGAAGAAACUUGUAGAUUAAUUGAUUUUUUAAUAUGAACCAAACACAUGACUGACUUCUUAAAAACAAGAAAAAAUGAAUGAUUUUUAAUAUGUAUUUAUGUGAGAAUGACAGGUACAAAAUUUUGUUGAGAUAUACUGUCACAUAAUCUUCAUCCCUUCCCUAAAACAAGAGAGAGAGAGAGAAAAAAAAAAAGGAAUGAUUUUUUUUGUGUGUAUCUAAGUGGGAAUGAGAUAUAUAGAAUUUUGUUGAGAUGCCACAUGAUCUUUAUCCUCCAUUAAACCCAACAUAUUAAAUCCACUAACUCUCCCCAAAAACGAGUAAAAAAAAAGGGAAAAAAGUAUGAGUUAAAAAACAAAAACGGAAAAUAUGAUUUAUUUUUUUUUAAUGUGUUUCUAAGGAAAAUGAGAGACACAAAUUUUUGUUAAGAUGCAUUGCCACGUGUUCUUCAUCCUCUCCAUUAAGCCUAAUAUAUUAAACCUAAUAGCUCUCUCUUUUAACUUUCCAGUGAAGUGCCUACAGUAUCCAACUCAAAAUAAGACAACUUAAGCCCCAUUAGCCAACAACCCAUAUUUUGUGUACAUCUUGAUGAGAUUAUUUUGUGAGAAAAUGUCAUGAAACAAUCCCAAUUUGAUAAUCUAGGCAUGUAUUUGAGUUAAAAAUAAAUUUCUAUUCUAUAGAUCAAAUAAUAAAAUCAUGUUUGAAAAUUAUUUUUAAAAACUUAUUUAGAGCAAAAAUAGUUUUCUAACAUAAAAAUAAUUUUUUAACUGAGAAAAUAUAUUUGAAAUUAUUUGAUAGAAAAUUGGGCAUGUAUUUGACUUAAAAACAAAUUUCUAUUCUAUAGCUCAAAUAAUAAAAUCAUGUUUGAAAAUUAUUCUUAAAAGCUUAUUUAGAGCAAAAAUGGUUUUCUAACAUUAAAAUAAUUUUUUAAUUUAGAAAAUAUAUUUGGAAACAUUUGAUAGAAAACUAGGCAUGUAUUUGACUUAAAAAUAAAUUAUUAUUCUAUAGAUCAAAGGAUAAAAUCAUGUUUGAAAAAUAUUCUUAAAAACUUAUUUAGAGUAAAAACAGUUUUCUAACAUAAAAAUAAAUUUUUAACUUAGAAAAUAUAUUUGAAAACAUUUGAUAGAAAACUUUUUUUUUAAUGUCAAUAAGUUGUCUUUUUGUUAAUUUAAUUGUAAUCAAUUUGCUUAUACGCAUUUAAAAGUAUAUAUUAUCAUAUUUAGUAAUAUUUUGAUUGUUAGGCAAAUUAUCAUUUUUGAGAGGAAUUUUUGUAGCUCUCAUAAUUAUAAUUGUAUUUUAAUAACCAUUUCCAAUAAAAAAGAAAAAGAAAAAAGAAGUUAGACAAUUAUCAAAAUCUGAUUUUUAGGAUUUUAAAAAAAUCUACAAGCCAAAACUAUCUAUAAUUUUGAUCAUGUGAGAACACUUCUUUUUUAAUACUUUGAAUUAUUUUGUUUUUUUUUUUCUUAGUAUCUGAAAGUAUAAAAGAAUUUCUCUUAUUAUAUUAUUAUAUUAUAUAUGUGCAUGUGUGUUCUCAUGGUUUCUUUAUGUCAUGUCUUAUUAAAGAAUAAAGUGAUGAAAUUUCCUUUGAGUAGAAGGUUUUAGUCCACGCUAGUGAGUGGACACGGUAUGAAUAGUUUGGGUGGGUUGUAUCUAUGGUAAAAAAUAAUAAAAGAUACCUUUUGCAAGUCUCCAAGUUGGUUGAGAUACAUGGCAUCAUGUUGACUAAACCUUGACUUUUGCAAGUCUCCUAGUUUCCAACUUUUUUUUUUCUUUUUUUUUUAAUAUUAAGGUGUGGGGCCAUGAACUCCUUUCUUUCCUUUUUAAAUAACAAAAAGGAAGAUAAUUUUAUUGUGAGAAGGCUAUUUCUAUCAAUUGUGUUCACGUCGAGAAUUUUUUAAUUUAUGGAGGCCAAAUAUAUAUUUAUGUCUAAUUUAGGAGGGUAAUUUGGGUUUGUUUAAUCUAUUCCAUUUAAUCAUACUAUACAAUCAUUUUUUUAUUUGGAUUAUUUUUGUAUUAAAUUUCUUCAACCCAAAUUUUGUUGAAAAAUUACAAUGUAUUAUUAAAAAUAUGACUUGAUAGUUGAUUAUGGACAUGUGUCAUUUUUAGUAAAAAAAAAAAUCUAUAACAUUUUAUAUUGAUAAUAUAUUAUUCUUGUAACAGGUUCGAAUAGUAAGCAAGUCAUUAUCAAAGAAGUUAUUGAAAGUAUAAGUGUACGUUUAUUUAUUGCAUGCUCUUAUAUUGUAUCAAUUGUAAGGAAGAUAAAAUUACCUUGUAAAGGUAAUUAAAUCUUUCUAUAUUUUAAAAACUUUUUUCCUAUAUACUAUGCUUUUGAAGCUUGUUUAAUUAAACAUAUUAGUUAUUUGACAAACUUUUCACAAAUGUUUUGUAUACUUAUGUGUUCUAUUUUGUUCCAUAGUUUUAUCGCAUAAUACUAAUGUAUAUUUUUUCACAAACUUUUUACAACUAUUUUGUGUACUAAUGCAUAUUAAGUUUUGUUCUUGCCUAUAUAAGCUACAUUUAGUUAUUUAAAUAUAUCCAAUAUUAUGUUGAAGAAAGAUGUACUUAACUUUUUUUAUUCUAAAUAUUAACAAGUUUUAUAGUUCUCUUGUCUUGAGAUUGAAUGUCAAAAGAUAGAAGGUCAGUUGAGUAUGAUGAAAGAGUUGAAAACUUUAUCAAUUUUGCAUUAGCACAUUCAAUCAACCAUUCCCCUAUAAAAUGCCCAUGCUUACGUUGUGCAAAUCUAUUAUGUCAAACUCUUCAAGUCAUUACAGAGCAUUUGUUCUUUAAUGGAAUAGAUCUCAGUUAUCGAGUAUGGUAUUGGCAUGGAGAAAAUGGACCCAGUGGAGGAUUUUCAAAUGUCUCACAACAACAUUAUGACAAAUGCAAGUAUAAUGAUGUUGUUGACACAAUAGAUAUGGUUAAUGCUGCACAAGUUAAUUGUGUGAAUGAUCCCUAAGUGUUUGGAAGGUUACUUGAAGACGCAAAAAAACCUUUAUAUCUUGGAUGCAUGAAAUACACAAAGUUGUCAGCAUUGGUAAAACUUUACGACUUAAAAGCACGUUAUGGUUGGUCUGACAAAGGAUUCUCAAAAUUGCGUCAGUUGCUUGGAGAUAUGUUGCCAUUGAAUAAUGAGAUGUCAUUGUCCAUGUAUGAAGCUAAAAAGACUUUCAGUGCACUUGGGAUGAAUAUCAAAAAAUUCAUGCAUGUUCUAAUGAUUGUAUUUGGUAUAGAAACCAGUAUAAGGAUGCUAUUGCAUGCCUAACUUGUGGAAAGUCAAGGUGGAAGAUAAACAAUGAGGGGAAAAAGAUUAAGAAGGGGCUUCCUUCAAAGGUUUUGUGGUAUUUCCCACCAAUCCCUAGAUUCAAAAGGAUGUUCCAAUCCUCAAAAAUCGUUAAACAUCUUAUGUGGCAUGCCAAGGAUAAAGAAUAUGACGGUAAACUAUGCCACCCAUCAGACUCCUCAGCGUGGAAACUAGUUGACCAUAUGUGGCUUGAUUUUGCUUCUGAACCGAGAACCUUAGACUAGCACUCUCAACAGAUGGUACAAAUCUUCAUAAGUCUAUAAGCAAUAGACAUAGUUGUUGGCCUGUUAUACUGAUCAUAUACAACCUUCCUCCUUGGUUGUGCAUGAAAAAGAAGUUUAUGAUGCUAUCAUUAUUGAUCUCAGGACCACGACAACCUGGUAAAAAUAUAGAUGUUUACUUGAGUCCAUUGGUAGAUGACCUUAAAACUUUGUGGGAAAAAAAAGUUGAGACUUAUGAUGCACACUUGCUUGAGGUUUUUACUUUAAAGGUCAUCAUUUUAUGGACAAUCAAUUAUUUCCCUACAUAUGGAAACUUGGCCAAUUGCACCGUGAAAGGAUAUUAUGCAUGUCCAAUAUGUGGAGAAGGAACAUAUUCCCAAAGAUUAAAGUAUGGUAGGAAGAACUUGUAUAUGGGUCACCGACGAUUUCUUCCACGUAACCAUCCCUAUUGGAGACAAAAGAAGGCAUUCAAUGGUGAACAAGAUUUUAGAAUUCCUCCUAAAAUUUUGAGUGGAGAAGAAAUACUUGAAAAAGUUGAUCUCAUUCCUAUUUCUUGGGGAAAAAUGAAGAUAAAAUCUCUUGAACUGAUGUGAACACAAAUUAUUGGAAAAAAAAGUCCAUAUUUUUUGAGUUAGAAUAUUGGAAAUAUCUUCAUAUCCUUCACAACUUAGAUGUCAUGCACAUCGAAAAGAAUGUCUGUGAGAGUAUUAUUGGUACUUUGUUUAACAUCCCAGGAAAACAAAAAGAUGGACUUAAUGCUCAACUUGACCUAGUUGAAAUGGGUUUAAGGUCUGAACUUUUCCCAAGAGUUGACUUGAAGCGGACCUAUCUUCCCCCUGCAUGUUAUUCACUAUCCAAACAUAUAUGACAAAAAAUUAGUUUGUCAAACAUUGUCUAAUUUGAAGGUCCCUGAGGGGUAUUGCUCAAAUUUUAGAAAUCUUGUCUCCUUAAAGGAAUUGAAGUUAUUUGGUUUAAGAUCCCAUGACUACCAUGCACUUAUGCAACAACUAUUGCUAGUGGCAUUACGUUUUGUUUUGCUAAAGCAUGUGAGAUAUACUAUAUCAAGAUUGUGUAUCUUCUUCAAUCAAUUAUGUACAAAAAUGGUUGAUGUGCCAAAAUUGGAUGAAGUACACAAUGAGUUAGUGGUCACGCUGUGCUUACUUGAAAAGUAUUUUUCACCUUCAUUUUUUGAUAUUAUGCUUCAUCUAGUAGUGCAUUUGAUAAGGGAGGUGUGACUAUGUGGUUCAGUUUACUUUAGGUGGAUCUACCCAUUUGGGAGGUAUAUGAAAGUUCUUAAAGAAUUGUUCGCAAUCAUAAUUGGCUUGAAGGAUGCAUUACUAAGUGCUAUUUAACAGAAAAAGCUAUUGAAUUUUGUACUGAAUAUUUAUUAGGGACUCAUGCAAUUGGAAUUCCAAAAGCAACAAUUAUGACAACAAAUUUGGUAGACCUAUAAUUGGUGGUCGUUCUACCAUCAUUGAUCAUAAAUUGUGGUUACAAGCACAUCAUUAUCUAUUAGAGAAUACAACUAUCGUCCAACCAUACACUGAGUAAGAAAAACAUACCUUUAUCUUUUUAUAAUUUCAUAACAUAAUGAUGAAAUCCUAAGUUUGCAUUCCUUGUCUUUAACGUCAUAAGGAACACAUGAAUUGGUUGAGGUCUCAAUACCCUCGACAAUCUAAUAGACAAAUUUGGUUGCAAGAAGAACAUAUGAGUUGUUUUACAUAUUGGCUUAAAGAAAAGGUAAUCUCUUAGUUUUUAGAAAAUUUUUCAAUAUGUUGAAAACAUCACAAGUUUCCAAUAUGUUUUGAUUAUACAUAGGUUGAAGAGGCUAUCCAUAAUGGGCAAGAUAUUCCCGACACACUUAGGUGGUUAGCACAUGGCCCUACUCUCCAGGUAGUCAAAUAUCCUGGAUAUAUCAUUAAUGAGUGUUGUUACCAUAUUAAGAAACGCGAUAUGACAUGCAUCACCCAAAAUAGUGGUGUUUUUAGCAAGACUAUGCAAAUUGCUAGUUCUAAGGAUAAGAACCUAGUUUGUGGUGAACUUUGCUUUUAUGGGGUCAUUAAUGAGAUAUGAAAUCUUGAUUACAACAUGUUCACAAUUCUAAUUUGCAAGUGUGAUUAGGUUGACAACAAGAAUGGUAUAAAAGUUGAUGAACUCAGGUUCACAUUAGUUGACUUCUCCAAAAUAGGUCACAAAUUGGAUCCAUUUAUUUUAGCAUCACAAGCCAAGCAAAUCUUCUAUGUUGAAGAUCAACUUGAUCCUAAAUGGUCAAUAGUUCUCUCAAUUCCUCCAAAAGAUUUCAAGAACAUAGAAGGACUAGAUGACUUCACCGAUAAUUGCAUGGAACAUCACCCCUUUAUAAGUUCAAUGCCAGAAUUUGAAUCAUUUGAUGCUAUGGAUGAAUCAUAGGCAAUACACAUGAGAGAAAACUGUGAGGGCAUAUGGAUUGAAAAGAAUUAAAUAACAUAUUGUACCCUUGAAUGAGAUAUAAUAAGGCAUUUCACUUAUUAGUUUUCAUGAGUUGCACAUUAACUUAGCUUCUAUAUAUUGCUCAUGAUAUAUCUAUAUAUAUUAAUCAUCCUAAAUUUCUUUCAUGCAUCAUAAACAUAUGUUAUUCAAAGGUACCACUUCAAUCUUCAUUCAACUAUCUUUUUGUUGUCCAUAGAACUAGAUUUAUAUUAUUUUUUAUUAUCAUGUUUUGAUUUUAUGCUCACAUAACUUGAAACUCUCAUUCCUAAAUUUCUUUUUCAUUAAAACUAUAAAUCAUAAUUGAAACUAUGCACUAAUUUAUUUUAUUAUUAUCCUCACAAAUAAAUUCUUCAUUAUUGAUAAGAAAUCAAAAAACAAGACAAACUUUGAAAGAAAAUUUCAAAAAAUAUAUUUGUGAAUGACCAAUUUAAUUAUAGAAAAUAUAUGCAAGGCUAUACUAAUCUUGCUUUUGAGUCAUUUUACAGGUUUGUUGGUGAAGUACUAGUUUGCACAUUUACUUGAUAUCUUCCACACAAAUAUGGAUCUAGAAGAAGGGGAAAUGCCAAAAAUAAAGCAUAGAUGUAGUGCAUUGAAACCAAAGAUUGCAAAAAAUCAAAGUAAAGGGAUAAAACUCAAGAUUGAAUACAAUAGCCUUGGUAGUCCCAUUAAGGAAAAUUCAGUUAAACUAAGUAGUUAUCUUAGUACAAUAACUAGAACCCAUGUGCUAAUAAUUAUUGAGAGUUGGAGGAAAGUCCCUAAAGAGACUAAGGAGAAGUUGUGGGAUUUGAUCACAGUAAGCCUAUCUAUAGCUUUAAUAUAUAAUUAUUGUAUACAUUCAUUAACAUGAGCUAAUAUGGGUUGUUAUUUUGUAGACAAGCUUUAAUGUGAAUAAAAAAUCCAAGAGGAAUUGUUUCAUACUAAUGGGCAUCAGGUUUCGAACCUUUAAGUACAAGUUGACAAAGAAAUAUAUAUUGUCUUUCAAGAAUGACCAAAAAAGCUGAAAAAGUCACCUCCUAUUUACCCAUUCAUACAAGAGGAUCAUUGGAGACAGUUUGUUAAAGAUAGACUUUUUGAACAUUUUAAUGUUAAGCAUUAUUUUUAUUACAUCUUCAAUUUUCACAUUUACGUAGUUUCAUUAUGUACUAAUUUUGUGUCUAUAUUUUGUAGGAAUAUCGCAAAGUUUAGAAAUCAAGAAGAGAUAAACACAUUUACAAUCAUUAUCUUGGAAGAAAAUGAUAUGCACGUUUUGAGCAAGAUAUAGUAAGUUAUCAAUAUCCAUAAAAAAAAUGGAGUAUAUAUUUUGUUUAUAGGAAAAUGAUUCUAGUUUUUAAAUAUCAUUUAUUAACUUGAUCAUGUUGAACUAAUGAGUUUUAUUGUUAAAAUUUUUAUAGCUACAAGCAGAAGGGGCUAUUGGUAGGGUUGAUAGAAGUGUUUAUGAAAGAAAACACGUGAGAAGAAAGGAAAGUUUAAUAAGAUUACAAAGCUAAUGAUUAACUAAGUUAGCAUAUUUAUGCCUUUUAGAGCCUAUAGUGUUAGUAUGUCUAUGUGAUUAUGGUUUGGGAUGAUAUCGUUAGGUGUUAAUAGGGAAGAGGCUUAAUGCUAUCAUUUUUAUGAGUAGUCAUGUUAUAUUAGUGCAAAUAUAGUAGCCUAAUUUGAAAAUUAAUUUUGAAACAAUAUACAUUAAUUUAUCUAUUAUCAUUUUUAUUAAAACAAUUCAUUUUCUAGCUACCUUGAAUUGGUCCUCUUGAAUUGGUUGUCUUUGAUUGAUAUGUUAAUCAUCUUCAUCAAAUUAUUACUAAUAUAUGUUUUGUUGUAGGAUGAAUUACUAGAAAAGGCAAGGAGACUGGACUACCUCCACUUGGUCCAAAUGACAUAUUAUGUCAGGCAUUGGGUAAGCUUGAUCAUCUAGGACGUGUGGUAGGUCAAGACCGCUUGGUUAGGUCGAACUCAUACUUUCAUCAACCAUUUGAUGACAUGAAAAAAAAAAUCAAAGAAGAAAUAUGGGAAAUGGUGUGAAAGGGGAUGCAAGAUGCUGUAACAAGACAAACUAUGUCUCCUCCCACACCCCAUUCUGAUAUAGGUAGUAAUAACAUGAGACAACAACUUGUUUUACAACUAGUUGUAGCAAAAAAACCAAUGUUUAAAAUGAUGGAAGAGCCCCAACCACCAGAACCACCACUGAAACGUAAGGUAUACAUUUACUUACUAAUAAUACAAGAUUAAUAUAAGUGAUAUAUAGCCUAUGUAAAUGAUAUUAUUUGUUGUAUUAAAGGUGAUUAAAUAUAAAUUAGCAGUGGAAUGAAAAUGAAAUGUUGUUGCAACUGGUACAUUAAUAGAAGAAAAUUGAUCAAAUGGGUUGGUCGUAAUAAAUGUUGCACACAAGCUAGAUGCUAGACUUCCAUUUCCAAAUCCAUAUGAGAUUAUCAAUGUUGGGGAUGCUAUUGGCUUUAAGCUUGACUGGCCAACAAGCCUUGUCAUACUUGAAACUAAACAUCCUCGGGUAUGUCAUUUUAUACUUGUAGUAAAUUUGAUUGUAACUUGGUAUUUUAUUGUUUAGGAGUAUAUAUUACUAACAUUCCUUCAUUUUUCAUAGGUGUUGGAUAAAGGAAAGAAGUAGAUAGUGAAUGCACCAAUUAUUCGAAAAUCUAAGCCUCAAAAUUAUUCGGUCAUUAAAAAUUUUCAGAAAUUUAUGGAUGGUUGUCUUAGUAAUGAGAAGACAUACCCAAUACAGCUCCCCAUUUCACUAUUUGGUGUCGAAUUCCGAACAUAUAUAUCUAGAGAGGAUUGUGAAUACAUUAUUUCAUCUUCAGAGGUGUUAUCAAAAUGCAUCUCCUUCCAUUUAUGGUGUGCACCUUUUAUUUUCAUUUGUUUUUAUUUUUUUAAUAUGAGUUGCCCCUGUUGAACAAGAUUGGAUAUGACUAAUGAUAAUUUUCUUUUGGUGUUUUGAUAAUAUAAUAGGUACAUGCAUGAUCAACUACAUAUUGCCAAAAAGGAAUCACAAUUUAUAUUUGUUAAUCCUUUUACAAUAUCAUGAGCAGGCUUUAGUAAUCCUCAAAUAGAGAAAAGAACACAAUUGUUGUCAAAACACUUAAUAGAGUGCCAAGAUGUCAGAUAUGUUUUCAUGCCCUACAACCCCGAGUAAGUGACGAAUAUUAUACUUUAAUUUGAGGUUUUAUGAUUGAUUUAUAUUUCUAAUUAGAUGCUACUUUUGUUUUUAAUGUUUUAGCUUUCAUUGGGUCUUGGUAGUGAUUGAGCCAAGGAAAAUGAUAGUCCACUAUCUUGACCCUGUGCAUCACAAACCAUGUGAGGACUUAAAGGAUAUCGUAAACAUGUAAGUUCUUCCUAUUAUUUUUCAUAGUAUUAUUUAAAAAAAAAAAUUACAUUCACCUCAAACACAUUUUUUAUUGUUAUUUCUAUAUAUUAAAACAUAUAACAUUUACCUAUUUUAAAAUUGUACCCAUUGAACUUAUUUACAUAGGGCUCUUUAAAUAUUUGCAAAGAAAACAUCUAAGAGAGAGCCAUCUUGGCAACUAGUGCAAGUGACAUCCAAAAAUUUUCUUUAAACAUUUAGCUUAUGCAUUUGCACCAUUUAUAUAUAUGAGUACUAAUGUUAUUUAUAACUGAUCCAUUAGUGUCCAAGACAAGAAGGAGGGUUCGAAUGUGGCUACUUUGUUAUAAAAUUCAUUAAAGAGAUAAUUUUUUAUCCUACAAUGAUUGCUUCAAAGGUAUUACUUAUUUAAUGAAUUGUACAUAUUUUUAGGCUUCCAAAUGUUAUGCAUUUUAAUGUUAUUUUCUUAUUUGAUUUUAGUUUGGUGAUAAAAAAACAUAUUCUCAAGUAGAAUUCAAUGAAAUUAAAGGAGAAUUGACUACUUUUGUGCUACAACUAAUCAUGAAUCAUGUUGAUGCAUCAUGAUCACCAUGCAUGGUGAGUCCCUUAGCUACUACAUGAAUUUUUCCAUAGAUAUUGUAUAGUAUUGCUUUUCUUUGAACAAUGUUUUUAUUUGAAAAAAAGAAAAAAAAAGUUCUUAGAUUUGUUCAUUUAUGAUAACAUCGAUCCAUAUUUAUUUUCUUCAAUGAAAUCUAUAAAACUCAUUAAACUAUGAAAUGCAGGUAUACACUCUUAGGAGGGUGGAAUAGAGAAUAAAAAGAACAAAGAAGGCAACAAGAUUUUGGGUUUUUAAAUACAGCUUGUAUGUCAUACGUUGAAGGACAUAAACGUUACUUUAAUUGGUAGUGAGAAUUUUAGAUUUUUAGAUGCUACUUUUAUGUCAUUUUCUUGUAGUGCAAAUUACUUAUCUUACUAUGCAUUGGGCUUUGAUAUUAGCCAAAGAUAGUAGUGGCUCCUAAUUUUUAUCCUUAACUGAAAUGAAAACAUCAAGCAGGUCCCCAGCCUCUUUUUCGCCAUUCUUCCACUAUUCUACUAUUUGGUCCAUGAUUGGAUCAUGGUACUUGUUAAUGGUGUUCAUAGCCUCCCUUAUAGUUUUUUCAUGGCCAUCUAAAUUCAGCACUCUCUGCCAUGGGAAGUAAUCAGAUAAAGAGAAUACAUAUAGAUGAGCAAGUAUAGUAAAGAAGGAUUCAACAUGUUGCUCCACUUCAACUCCAGGGCCUCCAUCUUUCUUUCGUUGGCCAAAGUAUCUUGUGUUGAGGAUCAUCUUUCAGAUGACAUUCCCGUUGUAUUGACGGACUUUAUUUCUGUCACACCCCAAAUACUAGGCAACCCAGAACUUGACUCGUGACCCUAGGUCAAAUGUUUGACCCUAAGAGUUACUCUUAUCCAUGUUGGCAAUCAAUCAAAACACCCUGGAUUUUUUUUCUUUUCAAUAAAGCGUUUAAUCCUAAAUAAAUUUAUUAAGCUAAGAUUUACUAUAACAUAUCAUUUUAUUUUUCCAAAACUAACCAUCACAUUAUCUCCUGUUCACAAGUAUUAAAAAAAAAAAAAAUUCCACCAAUCAUCUUCUUACCCAAAAUCUCAAAUAUUUACUAUAAUCUCUAAGUCAAAAAGAAUAUUUCCAAAAAUGUUUUACAAACUAAUAAAAUAUAAUUUAACUUAAAAAAGUCCAUAUAACUCAAAUUAGUAGAUGUCAAAAAGGUAAUUAAAAAAAAACAACCAUUAUUAUGGUUUUUUUGCUUUUUAGAACACUUCAUGAUCUUCUUAUGGUCCCUUAGAAACUAUAUCUGCAUCUAAAAAUUUUAGAAAAUAAAGGGAUGCACAUUUCCACGUUACUCUUUAGACCUAAAUGGGUUAGAAAUUCUAAGUCAAUAAAACACAACCAUAUGCCAAAAUAUAAUAUUACAUUUACAUUAUACACACUAAAAGAAACCUCAACCAUACAAAUUUAAAUCAAUCAAAAUUAUCAUUUUCCUUAUUUAAUCAUAUGUUUAGCAUAUCAAUAAUUUUAAAUUUACAAAAUAAAUAAGUCACUUUAGUCUUGAAUAAUAUAUUCAAACAUAUACUUGAUAAAUAAUACAAAUCAUUUUUCCAAAUGCAACCAUGAUACAAAUGCUUACACACAAUCACGCAAUGCAAUAUCGUUCUCGAGCUUUCACCGAAGGAUAUGCAUUUAUACCCAAAUACACUCCCCAUUCGGAGUCUUCCUGGGAUAAAAUUUUGAGUCUUUCACCCUAAGGAUCUCACUCCCUUCUUAACUCACCAUCUCUAGGGUCAUUCAAUUUCUUAUUUUUCUUUUCUUUUCAUUUUUGCCAUUUUUGGGGUCUUUUCAUUCUCAUUUCCAUUUCACACAACCAUUUCUUCAAUUUUUAUUUUUCUUCACACAAUCAUGAUGCAUAUGAAAUGCAACUGAAUCAUAUUUUAACAUCCAUAAUUUUCCAAGACAUAAUUUUAUUUACUCCCAUUAUGUUUCAUAAUUUCCAAUAAUCCACACAACGAUUUUUCUUCACUUUAAUCGUCACAAACAUAAAAGAAAAUUCACAAUUAAUUUGUAUAGCAUCAAAACAUAGUUUUAAACAUUGACCACAUAAAUUCUAUUUAUUCCCGACAUGCUUAAUAAUUUCCAAAUCCAAUAUAACCAUUUUUUUUUCAAUUAAAUAAUCACACAUAUCCAAGAAAAUUCUCGCUAAUACAAAUAUCAACAAAAAUGUAAUUUAUGUCAUAAUUUAUUUGUCUCCAAUAAUUUCAAAAAUUUUGACACCCAUAUGACAAAUUUCCACAAUUAAGCCACCCCAAUAUUUGGGAAAAAUUUUCCAAUAAUUCAAAUAUCAACAAAAACCCAAUUUAUAUCAUCAUUUUAUUUAUUUUUAAAAGCAUUAAUAAUUUUAAUAAUCAAUACAACACUUUUCCACAAUUAAGCCACCACAAAAUUUUGGGAAAAUUUUCCAAUAAUUCAAAUAUUAACAAAACACAAUUAUACCUUAAUUUUUCUUAUCUCUGACAACAUCAAUAAUUCUUAGUACUCAAUACAACUAUUUUUAUUUUUUCAUAUUUAAUCUUCUCAAACAUUACCAAAAUUCCAAGAAAAAUUUAUAAAUCACGAAAUAAAAUUAUUCACAAUAAUAAUCACACUUCAAAUACUACAAAUAACAUCUAUUAUAUUUCAACAACACAAUAUAUAAUUUUUUUUGAAAGAAAAUAUUAAAUCAAAGUUUUAGGGUUAAAUCACCCUACCUUAAAUUUGAAAAAUUUAACCAUUAAAACUAAAACGGGACACCGUAGGAGUGUUCCUCGCAUUGAAUAGAAUAUCCUUCCAAAAUUUUAUGUGAAAUGGACGUCAUUUGGUAGGUCCACCAGCAUCCUAAAGCUGGCGACCCAUUUUUCCCACUCUUUGCCGACGACUUCCCUACAUCUCUUACUCGAUUUCCUUUCUUCAUUUUCUUUUCUUCUUCUUCUUUUCUUCUUCUUCUUUUAAACUCCCACGCCAAUUUCACUUUAUAUAUAUAUAUAUAUAUAUAUAUAUAUAUAUAUAUGUAUGUAUGUAUGUAUUAUUAAAACAAAUCCUAAAAUACCACGCACAUCCAUUUCUCAAUAAAUUAAAACCAUUAUUCUUAAAUUCACCUUCCGUAAUUAUGAAUUAUACCAAACUUAUGAUUUUCCAUUUCACGAAAAAUACCACCGUAUUCGUAAUUUAAUUUACUACAAGUCUACUCUUCAAAAAGUAUAAUUUGAUUAUAAUUACAUGAAACAUUGUUUUUUUACUCUAAAAUUCAUUUAAAACAUGAUAUAAUUAACUAUUAACAAAAUUCAAUUCCAUAAAAUAUUAAAAACAUAAAAUAAUUUUUUGGCAAUCAAGAAGUUGAAAUUUGUAAUAACCCUAAACCCGUUAAUUUUACCUAUAUUUAUUUACCAAAAAAAAUUUAAAUAAUAUUCUAAAAUUUAAUUCCAUAAAUUAAUUAGUCAUUCAAUUUAUAAAAAUCAAAUUCUCUACCCUUUGGUAUAACUUUUAUUUAAUUUACUUCAUUUUUCAAAUUAUUCAAUCGCAUCAAAAUUUCAAAAGUUAAAUUCACUAAAUUCACAUUUAAUUAAUUUAUCAUUUUGUAUUUUUUUUUUUUCUAAAUUCGCAUAUCAUAAUUUAAUCUUAAUUUAAUUUUGAUUCAAUUUUGUUUUAGGUUUUCUAAUUUUAUGAGGUUUAAUUUCAAUUAUAAAAAUUAAAUUCAAUUUCUUUUUAAUUAUCCAUUAUCACAAUUUGAUAUAAUAUAAUUUUUUAUCAAGUUUUUCUUACUACGAUUUUUCUUAUAAUUAUCCAAUAAUAAUUAAAUUAAUUCUCGUAACAUAUUUAAUAUUCAAAUUUUAAAAACUUAAUCUCAAUUAUUUGAUGGUUAUUUUUUUUUUCUCAAAAUCUAAAUUUAAUUUAUGAAAUUCUCACUUCUUACAUCUGACGUGGCAAAAUUUUCAAACUAUUGACUUUUGACCAACUUUUCCUAAAUUUAUCCUAAUUAAAUACUAACACAUGGAUUUUCACCACUCUUUUUGAUCUUUUGACCCACAAAUUUAUGAAAGACUUUAUACUUGGAGAAUCUACAAAAACCUGGGUAUUACAAUUUCUCAGGUUGAUAACUGUCGUGGUUACGAAGCCACCACUUGAAUACUCAAUCGCCAUUGUAAUGGGCCUAGAUGCAAAUAGUACAUCAUGUUUCUUCAAAAGUUCUCUGCUAAUCUCUGGGAAAGUCGUAGGGACAAGAUGAAAUAUUUCCCAAUUGAAUACAUGCAAUUUCAGUGUUCAUUUCUUUCAUAAAGCCAAUGUAUCCACCAGAAAGUUGGCUUUUUGUUGAGUAAAUGAGGUAGAUAUUGCACUAGUGGCCAUGGAGCUAAUCCUGGAGGAAGUUGUAUCGGCUUGCUUUUGGUACUUGUUUUGGAUUUUAAUUUAGUGAAGAUGAGAAAGAUUGAUGUGAUGAAAAGCAGUAAGAGGAAGUUGAAAUGAGACAACACAUCGUCUGUGGUAGUAGAAGAAAACAAGGUUGAGUUACUGCUACUACUCUCUGCAACAAAGCCAUUUACACGUCUUUUAUGGCAAAACCAUGUUUGUCCUAUCUUGGGUCUGGAUGCACAUUUUUAAUAUUGGGGAAAUCAUGCAACCAAAUGUCACACACAAAGAGAGAGAAAAAAAUACGUUUUUUAGAACUUGAAAAGGUAAAGUGGGACAAAAAAUAUUAUCCAUUCUUGAACUCUAAAAGUAAAGUUAUAAAAAGCUUAGUUUUUUUUUUUUUGUUAUGUAUGAUUGCAUGAUUUCCCCCUUUUAAGAUUUUAUCUCAUAAAAUUUUUUUCUAGAAGGUUCAAAUAAGUUUGAUGAAUAUUGUUUAUUUUAGUAAUUUUAAUUUUAUGGGGUACUUAAAACAUUAGAAGUUCACAAAAAGCAACAUUUAUCAGCUACCUAUCUAAAAAGCUUGGCCUAAUCAUUGAAAUCCAAAAUAUAAAGUGACAACACACUUUUUAAAGCAAUUUUCAAAAUAGUUUUUAAAAACACAUUUAUUUAUGAUAUUUUUAAAAUAAAAAUCUCAAAAAUAACUUGUUUAUAUUACUUUUUAUUAGACAAAUACUUGAUCUUUAUAAGAUCACCCUAAUUAUAGAUUUAUGAACAUGUAACACAGCAAUUAUCUAUAUAUAUACUUAGAAUUAUUAUAUUUUAAGUUUUUAACUACAUAGGACAUCAUGAGUUUUUCCACCAUUUAUCUUAUAAUAAGUUUAUUUAAAUAUGAUAAAGGAUAUAUUAUCUCAUUUCUUAUUAUAUCUGAUGCUAUAUAUAUAUAUAUAUAUAUAUAUAUAUGUAACAAAUCAAAUACAAUUUAAAGAUUUUAAUUAACCAUCUAUUAGCAACAAAGCAAUCUCUUAAUCUCAUUCAUAAUAUUAGGAUAAUUUAGUAUUUCCUUUUAUAAAACACUAGCAUAUAAAUCAGCACAAAUCAUAUUAAGGGUGUAUUUGGUGUUGAUUUUAGAAAGCGUUUUUAGUAUUUCUAAUACUUGAAAGAUAAAAAUUUUCAAGUUUUAGAAAGAUCAAAAGCGCUUUUUAGAAUGACUAUCAAAUACAUGCUAAAUAUUACUUUUGGAUACUUAUAUUUUUAAAUAACUCUUAAAACUUUUAAGGCAAGUCUCUACUAUUCAUAUAAACCCCCUAUUAUUUUUAAUUCUUAGAAACAAAAAAUAAAGAAUAAAAACUCCAUUUAAACAUCACCUUAUUAUUUCCUAUUAUAAAAUAACACAAAUCAAAUGAAUUAUUUAAAAAUAAAUAAAUAUAAAAUCAAAGUUGAAGAGAAAAAACUCUUGUGCAUUAAAAAAACAUCAAAAUAAAUAAAUAAAUAAAUAAAUAAAACAUCAUCAAAUAAAUGUAAAAAUAAAUUAAUGUUAUGGAAAAAUGAGAAUAGGCAACAAGAAAAUAAGAACACAGAUUUACAUGAAAAAUGCUAGAUGGGAAAAACCAUGGAUAGAGGAGAAGAAAAUCCACUAUAUUAAAAAUUUGGUAUAAAAUGUGACAGAAUCAAGUGAGUAUUGUAUAGGCAUAAUCACUAUGACCCUAAAUCCUAUACAUCAUCGCAUAUGUAUGGUGUAUGCGAUAAUAUUUGUGAUAAUAAAAAUAUUGUCGCAUAAAAUAACUAUGGGAUGUAAUAUUUGUAAUAAUAUUCUUUACAAAAAAAAUAUUUUUUCUUUGCUUUAUUCACUUUGAUCACAACUUGAAAUAAGACAAUAAAAAUAUUUUCUUAAUUUUUGAAAAUUAAUUGAGGACUUAGAGCUACUUGUUACUGAGUGAAUUUGCUGAAUGGUGAAGAAUGUGUGUAUAGUAGUUUUGCAAUUUUUCAAACUUGUAGACAUAUUUUGUGAAGUCUUUUUCUCUUUGUAAAGCCCCAUUUUCUUUGUGUAGUUAUUUUUUCAAUAUUCUCUUUGGAAGGAAUUUACCAUUAGUUAUAUAGGUAAGAUUAAGGAAUUAAAUUUGGAAUUCUUAAGAUUUGAUUGCUUAAUUCAAAGAAUUUGGUUCAAGGGAAAUUUGCCAACAAAAUAAUAUUUAUUUUUAAUUCUAUGAUGACUUUAAUUAUUUGAUAUAAUUUUAUUUUGAAAGACUUGAUGUGGGGGACUCAUCACUUAUUGAGUCCAAAUUUUGUUGCACCCAAAUUUUUAUGAGCUAAGAAACCAUAAUUUUAAAGACCAAUUCAGUGGUAAGUGAAUCUGCUAAAAUCUUCUAUGUACAAAUGACCUCACUUCAAGGUGCAACACAUACAUGUAUUAUUAUGUGUAUGGGAUGAGUCUUGAAGUUAGUCUUCAUUCUUCUUUGAUUUUUUUUUCUUCAAAUAAAUAAAUAAAACAUCAUCAAAUAAAUGUAAAAAUAAAAUAUGUAUCGGUUAAUUGGAGAGGAGAGCUUUAAGGGCAUUUCUUCUAUGAAAUUCUAUGCUCCACGUACCAUAAAUUUGUACUCAACCAACAAAAUUACAGAAUGGGUCCAUGCACAAACAAAAAUAACUCAAAUGUAAAUAUCUAAAAAUGUAUAAAGUUCACAAUAGAUAUUCAAGCCCAAAUUUAAAUUUCAAAUUAGUCCAAUAGAUUUCAUCAAUCAAAAUGGGUCCAAAUUAGCAAAUAUAACCCAACAAAAAUAUCUCAUAUGUCAUAGGCCCUAAUUUAAAAUUUUCAAAUUAAUAGCCAAAAUAUAAGUUCAAUUAAUCAAACCCAAAACAUGAUAAAUUAAAAUAAAUCUCAUUAGGCCUAUACUUAAUAUCCCAUAAUUCAAGCCUAAUUUAAUAUAUAAACCUAAAUCCACAAUCAAAAUCAACCCAAUUUAUGCUAAUCCCGAUUUACAAUCAAAAUCAAACAUAAUUUAAUAAGUAAAUAACUAAAUAAAUUAAGCAAACUCAAAACACCCAAACCACUACAACAUAAAUCAAACAAUAAUAAAUAUAAUGACAAUAAUAAUAAUAAUAAUAAUAAUAAUAAUAAUAAUAAAAUAAAAUAAAAUAAAAUAAAAAAAUUUAACUCAUGUCGGAGCCAGUUUGAAUGUCUUGGGAAAGAAAGAAAAUGAGAGAAAAGUGAGAGAUGAUUGACAACUGACAGUGGCUCACUGGCGACGACUGGCUAGUGGUCCUACCGAUGGUAGUGAGGAUUGAUUGGUUUUUGGGAAAAAAAAUAAAAUGAAGAAAAGAAAAUGAGGUGUAAUAAAAAAAUGGAGAAUUGAGAGGAAGGUGGGAGAAGAAUGGAGAGAGAGAACAUAGAAAAUGAGUGAAAAGAAAUGAGGCUAGUUGGAGGAGGAAGUGGUAGUGUGUGAGCUAAAGUGAAGAAGAAUAGAAGAAGAAAAUGGAGAAGAAUGGGGAAAAAAAAUCCGCCUCCUUAAAUGAAGAGAGGUGGGUAGCCUAAAGAAGAAGAAAAAAUAAAAUAAAAUAAAAUGGGGAGAAAAUGAGAGGGGGUCGGUGGUCUUGUGAAUGAGGUGGUAUGCGUUAGAGAGAGAGAGUGGGUGGGGUUGUUGGGGAAGGUAUGAGAGAGAGAGGAGAGAGAAAAGAAAAAAAAGAAAGAAAAGAAAAAAGAUAAUAUAAAAUAAUAAUAAUAAUAAAAUAAAAUAAUAUACAAAAUAAUAAAAACUAAUAAUUAAAUAGUGAGUGGGCAAAAAAUAUCAUAUGUAAUCGGGAUUUAAUUUUAAGAGUAAAAUUGGGUUAAAAAUUAAUGUAAAAUAAAAUUAGGACAAAUUUUGGGGUAUACAAAUAUGCGCCUCUUCGGUAGAGUCCACGAGUAAAGCAAGUGUAUAUGUGAGCAAAACAAAGUGGGCUCUACUGAAAAACAAGACAAACCACCAAAUUUGUCUUAAUAUGACAUGAACUCUCCCAAAAAAAAAAAAAAAAAAAAAAUCUAAAACCCUACAAAAAUGGCCAAAACGGAAACUCCUAAGGUGCCUUUAAAGUUAUACUAUGGAUCUAGACUCCCUUAGAAAAGCCUCCAAAAAUGGCCCAAAAAUCGGUGUCAAAAUCGAGUAGCAAUCAGACCACUAAGGAGCACAUGAACGAAUGCAUACAAAGGGAAAAAAACCAUACGUGUACCAUACGAUGACAAAAGGCAUAAGGUAUCCAACAAUAUGACUGAUUCACGUGUUACGAGCUCAAAGAACUUUGUCAUGCACCAUGGAGGAAGGGAAACUCUAGAAUAAUGUGAUGAGGAAGUUAUUAGCACAAUGUAAUAGAGUGAGGAAAAAAGUGAUGAGUGCAAAGCUGUGAGGACAAGGUGCACAAUGCUAAUGAAUAUGAAAUGAAUAGCACUAGGCUAUAAUGCAAUGAAUAGCUCAGGGUUGUACCAUAAUGAACAAGUCAAGGAUGUGUAAAGAUGAGGAACAACUCAAGGUUGUAAUGCAAUGAACAACUUAGGGUUGUGAAUGCAAUGAACAGCUCAGCGCAAUGAAUGAAAUGAAUAGCUCAGGGCUGUGAAUGCAAUGAACAACUCGAGGUUGUGGAUGUAAUGAACAACUCAUGGUCAUGGAUGCAAUGAACAGCUCAGGGCUGUAGAUGAACAACUCAGGGUUGUGGAUGUCAUGAACAACUCAAGAAUAGGGGCACUGUACACCCAAAAUGGGAGAUCACGGUCUACGAUUCCAAGUCAAACCACUAAAGGGUGACCAAAAUGAGGGUGAUCAACUCACUAAAAAAGAUGAUCAAAAUGUCUUAAGGGAGAGGAGAUGCCCCAGAUGAAACUUAAAGGAAGUGAGUAGUGCUAAUGAAACUAAAAAAAGAAAAAAUGUCACAACUGAAAUUGAAAAAAUAGCAAACUUAGAUUAAAGUGCAAUGAACAACUUUGGGUUGUGGAUGCGAUGAACAGUACCUUGUUGUAAUGAAAUGAAUAACUCUAAGAUAUGGGCAUUGUACGCCUAAAGAGGGAGAUCGUGGUUUACGACUCCAAGUCAAACCACUAAAGGACGACUAAAAUAAGAUGAUCAACUUACGAUAAAUGAGAAUGCAACUAUCUCGAGAAAAAGGGUAUGCCCCAAAUGACACUCAAUAGUAAAAGAAUGACACAAAUGAAACUAAAACAAGAGGAUGCCACAAAUGAAACUGAAAUGAUAACAGACUCAGUACUAAUGUGUAAUGAACAACUUUGGACUAUGGAUGCAAUGAAUAGCACUGGGUUGUAAUGAAAUGAACAACUCUAAGAUGUGGGCACUAUACGCCUAAGAAAUGAGAUCAUAGUUUACGACUCUAAGUCAAACCGCUAAAGGGCGACUAGAAUAGGAUAAUCAACUCACUAAAAAUGAGGAUGCAACUAUCUCGAGAAAGGGGGUAUGCCCUAAAUGACACUCAACAGUAUAAGAAUGACAUAAAUGAAACUAAAAUAAGAGGAUGCCACAAAUAAAACUAAAAUGAUAACAAACUCAAAACUAAUGUGCAAUGAAUAACUCUAGGUUGUGGAUGCAAUGAACAACACUGGGCUGUAAUGAAAUGAACAACUCUAAGAUGUGGGCACUAUACGCCUAAAGAGGGAAAUCACGGUCUACGACUCCAAGUCAAACCACUAAAGGGCGACUAGAAUAGGAUGAUCAACUCACUAAAAAUGAGAAUGCAACUAUCUCGAGAAAAGAGGGAUGCCCUAAAUGACACUCAAUAGUUAAAGGAUGACACAAAUGAAACUAAAACGAAAUGAUACUACAAAUGAAACUGAAAUGAUAACAAACUGAUAACUAAAGUGCAAUGAACAACUCUAGGCCGUGGAUGCAAUGGACAGCUCAAGAAUAGGGGAACUAUUCGCCCAAAAUGGGAGAUCGUGGUCUGCGACUCUAAGUCAAACCACUAAAGGGUGGCUAAAAUCAAAAUGAUCAAUUCACUAAAAAUGAGGAUCUGAACAUCUCAAGAAAGGGGUUAUGCCCCAAAUGAAACUGACAAUAGAGGGAUGCCCUAAACAGACUGAAAAAAGGAGGAUGCCUUAAACAAACUAACGAAAAAUGGAUGCCCUAAACAAAUUGACGGAAGUGAAAUGCCCUAAAUAAACUGACCAAAGAAGAAUGCACUAAACAAACUCCAAGAAAAAAAAAGAAGAAGUAUGCGAUAUAGAAUCAAAAACACCUAAAACAAAAACAAGAAACAAAGAAUGUGGUUUACAACUAGAAACACCCAAAAGAACCUUAAAGAAGUGACUGGGAUAAUGAACUUAAUGAAAAUGGGGUAUGCCACAGUAAAAGACUCGGAAGUAUCAGCAAAUGGAUCAAACGACCAUGAAAUCAAUAGGAGAUAUGAUGAACCCAAAAAGGGCGUAUGCCCCAACAAAAGAACACUAAAAGGGGGGUAUGCCUUGAUAUGACGACUCACAAUAAUUAAGAAAUGGAUCGAGUAAUGAGAAAAUCUGCAAAAUAUCUUAUGAACUCAAAGAUGGGGGUAUGCCCCAGUGUAAAAUAGUGACCAACAUAAGACACAGAAUGUCACCAUACAAUACACUCUGGGAUAUGCUCAAUGACAAUGUAAUGAAAACAAUAGCCUCAAUCAACAAAUGUUCAAGCAAGACCAUGCAUCACAUAAACUAAAAUAAUAGGCUAAACAAAUGCUAACCAAGUCUCUCAAUCUGAAAUGUAAGCAAGUCAAGACAUGACAUGUCAACCAUCGACAUGAAAACAUCAUCACAAAUACAUCAACAAACUAAUAGUCCCUACUAUCAUGGAAGAUGUAGAACCUAACGUCCAAAGGCAUGUGAAAACUCAACCAAAAAGCUCAAGACUAGUUUGCAUCCUCCUCUAAUAAAAAGAAUGAGAUAAGGUCAUGUAGGAUGAUGAAAUAGGCAAGCUCAAUAUUCGUUAGGCUCUACCAAGAUGGAUGUAGGUAUAAUAGUGUCAAAGGUAGGAUGUCUAGAUGUCCAACGAAGGAAACUGGGUAUCCAAGUCAAACCAAGUAUGUUGAGGAAACUGAAGCCAUAGGACAAUAACUUUAUGAUCCAUUGAAAAUAGCAAUCAUGAAUAGAAGGUCGAGUCUCGAUGUCAAAAUCAACAAGGUGGCAUUGCCCCAGUAUGAAUACAUCUUCUCAAAAUGGGUAAACCCUCAGUGCAAGAUAAUCUCUAGAUAGUAUGUGUCUAGUAUAAACUGUCAUCUCACAAAAUCUAUCACUGAUGAGUGGGCUAUACCCCAGUGUAAGCAUUUCCAAAUCAAACAUCGAUGAGAGGAGUACAACCAAUCAUACAUAAUAUGAUCAAAACAAAUCUCCACUCCUCAAAGUCAUCAUGGUAACGUGAAGAGAGUAUCUAACCUCAUUUAAAGAAAGAUCAUGUCCCAAUGUGAAAAAUAUCAAGCAAAGUGGUAUGUCUCAACAAAAAUGCACUCUAACAUGAUCAUGCCUAGAUGUAAGCUGGUAUCUUUAAGAUCAAUCACCAAUGAAAGGGUUAUGCCCCAGUAUAGGGCAAUCUCUGAAAUGACUAAAAUCCGCUACAAGCUCUCACAAGUGUCUAUGUCAUGAACCAAUCAUCUCAAAAAAUAAAUAAAUAAAUAAAUAAAUCUAUCAACAAUGAUGAGAAGGUUAUGCUAUAAUCACAUCAAGAAAAUCACUCGGUCAUAUCUUGUACUCCAAUGUGAAAGGAAAAUAUGAUCACCUCUAAAGAAUGGCUAUGCCCCAAAAUACAUCAUCGAUUGAGAAAUAUGCCCCUACGUAAAGUACAUCAACUGAAAUAUGCCAAUCAUGCCUCAUGUUCCAAUGUGAAAAAUGACAUAUAAUAUUCUUUGAGGGAUGGUCAUGACUCAAAAUCCAUCAUCAGUUGAGAGAAGUAUGCCCCGACAUAAUGGUCAUCUAAAAAAUCAAUCUCCGACUAAGAAAUGUGUGCCUUGAUGUGAUGUAUCAAGCAAACUGGCUGCAUACCCCAUAAAAAACUCUCUAAGGUGGCUAUGCUCCAAUGUUGGAUCAUACCACAACUCCUGGUCUAUCACAAUCAAAAUGCUCUCCAACCAAUCCCAAGUAUCGCCCACAUGAGAGCUAUCAAACACAAUGUGUGAUGUCAUGGCCUCAAGGUGGUCUUAAGAUUCAGGACGUAACGUAGGCUAGGGUAAUAAGGUGAAGAAAUGAAGGAAAACUAGGCUUAAUAAUCCUAAUGAUAAAACCCCAUACCCUUAUGUAUAAAAUGCAAUAUGUGCAAAGAGUCUUAUAAACCAUGGAUCUAAGGACACCCAAUAUGAAUAUAUCAGUGAGGAAGAAAGAAUCUAAGAUGAAUAUAUCAAUGAUAAAAGAGAAGAAAUGAAGAAUAUCAAACUGCUGAUGGGAUGUAUAAGAAUGAUGUGUGGAAAAUAUUGAACAUGGAAUGUAAAUUGAUAUGAACAAAGAACAAUGUAGGCAAGGCAAAUGCGAUAUCAUGAUAAGAACAAAUAAAUCGAAGAAAAAUGAAUGAACACUAAUCCACUCAAAUCAAGUCAUGGAGAAUAGUCAAAUCACCAACGUAUGUAAUGAUGGAGAAGACAAUGAUUCGAAGUCCCUAGGAAAAUGUCACUUGUUUGUCACACAUAAAAUACAUAACGAGAUAGACACAAAAAUAUGAGAGUUUUUUGAAAGUUCACAUACGAACUUUCAUAAGCAACUAACUCAAUAAAGCAACCUCAAUGACCAAUAUAUACACUCAAUAAAGGAUGACACUGUAUACAUGUGUUUAUUACUUUUUCUUUUUCAUUUUUUUCAUUUUUGUUUUUAUUUUUUUUCUUUUGCUCGCGCAUACUCUGAAUAUCAAUAAAUGAACUUCUCUGAGAAUACAUAAUGAAAUGGAUAUACUCUCAAACAAUGAUGUAAGCGAACUCUCUCUGACAAGAUGACCCUCUAAAUUAAGGAUUUUCAAACUAACGUCCAUGAGAUAGGAGUGGAAGGGGAUAUGACCAUCCUCCCUGCACCGAAAUGUGAAAAAUCAUCACUCAGGGCACAAAAAAAUGUGAUGAAAAAAAAUAAAAAAUGAAACAAAAGAUAUAAACAAUGAAGUAUGAUGAAGACUGAUGUUGGGAAGACAAAAAAAUAGUGAAGAAUGUGAGCCAAUAAGUCCACAACUCAUGAAACUCUCGAAUAAAAUAUAUAUAUACACCAAAAGACCCUUAUCCCGGUGUAAAAUGUGAGCAAGGAUAUAAGAAAGAAAAGACUAUGGUGCUCAUGUGAGGUUCAAAGGGCUAGCAACGGUCCAAAUGUCAAUAAAGGUAAUAGGGUGUGAGCUAACCAAAAUGAAGGCCACCUAUGAUGGUCUGAAACAUCAUGCUCUUAAGCUUUCAAUGAUCAAUACUGAAAAUCGAUGUCCAUUUGAUAUAAACACGUCAACCCUUUGGAAUUGUGCGCCAAACCAUACUCCAAAUGCUCCAUAAUAAUCUCAAAGAUAAUCCUCUCAAAGCAAAGUAAAUAGCGAUCUCAUAAGGCACAACUACUCAUCACAAGCCAACUCUCAUCAUGCAAGAUCAAUCUCUAUUUUCAUGGAAAAAUAAGUGACAAUCUCAUCAGGUAAUCGACGAAUCCUCACAUCAUAAACCAACCAAAGAUCAUAAGUCAUUCAUUGCCAUGCAAGAUCAAUCCCAGACUCAAACUCCUCAUACUCUACCUGGUUGGAUUAGAGAAGAAAUGGGCAAAACUAGAAAAACUGAAGAUGGAAAGGUCAUAUAAUGGUGUCAAGGGUGAUGUUGUGCAAAACUCACAAUGGAUGGAUGUAGGUCAAAGCAAAGUCAAUGUGUGAGAGUGAGUAAGGCACUACUCUGAUCAUAAGAAGAUGGGUCACAAUCUCAAACUCCUAAGGUCAAAUCUCCGAUCCUAGGCUAAUAAGCUCAACAUCCUCCAUGAUAGGUCAACCCCCAAGAUCACAAUGUGCAAAUGAAUAGAUGCCUCAAGUCAAAAGUACAACACAUCAUAUGAUAUAUGGUCCUACGAUGACAAUCUAAAACUGGAAAUAUGUUAGAAACUCUAAGGUCAUAAACGUGUCCACUGUGAGAUGACUAUAAAUGUGACUAAGGAAUCUUUAUCAAUAAUCCAAAAAAUGAAUGAAGUGUGAAAAACAACACUAUCAUGAGAUCGAUACCCCAUCAAUAACAAAAUAUCUCUAAUUCACUUUCAAUCUAAACUCUAUAAAGAAAAACGAUAAGGUUAUAAAGGCAAACCUCUCAAAAAUGGUGUGAAUGUGAAAACAUGUCUUCACCUUUCUAUAAUGAAAAUAUCAUGUUGAAAAUAGAAAUAGGCAAAUCGACCAAAGAAUGAAGUACGGAGCCCAUGACAAGUGAAGAAUGUAAAAAGGUGAACAUGAUCAAUGAACAUAUCCCAAAACAUCAAGCAUAAAGUGACAACAAACCAAAAGAAUGUGUCAACUUAAGAAAAGAAGACUAUCUGAAGCCCCAGGGAAAAAGUGUGCUAGACUCAACGAGCGACAAGAAGAAACUAAAACCAUAUAGCAAGAGGUGGUCCAACUGAUACUCAAACUCGUACCAAUAUCUAAGCACUCUCGACUGGAGACCAAAAGAUGGAGUAUUGGAUCCAUAUUGUGACUAAAGUGGCCUCGAAGGCUCUCAGAUGCACCCACGUGUAGGAAAGGAAAUCCUAGUAAAAAUAUCUAAGGCUUAACCUACAAGGUCAAGGCGGCUCUAAAAAGAAAAAUUGAGUGGACUUUAAAGGAUUCCUAGCAAAAGCGAUCAUACCCUCCGAUGGUACGCAACCUCCUACACGUCUUGAAAUAUAUGGGAGUGAUUCCAUGCAAGGUGGUCAUCACCUCCACACAUGCACUAUCUCAUAUCCUAGAGGGUUUCCUAAUGAUGAAGACUCUUACAUCUCUCAACACUUAGUGGUAAUCUAAGGUGCACAGUGAAUGGUGUGGGUUCAUCCAAAAAUCCUAUCAAGCUAAGCAAAGAGAAAACACAUUGGUCACACAAAUAUCUUGAAAUAUAGCUCUAACCUAUACAAGUCUUCAAAGAUUGGACUCCAAUUAGCAUUAAUGUUUCGACCUUCUCCAGAAUGCUCCCAAACAUAGAUAUAGUCCAUCACUAAAUCCUACUCCGAAUCACUAGCUCGGUCGAAGAGCAAACAAAGUAAUAAGUCUCAUAUCAAAUAUGAGAUCAAGGGGAACAUGGUCACCCAAGACUAGGGAAUUGAAGUAAGGGGAUAGAUGUGUGUCCCACAUAGAAAAGCAACAUGCAUCACACAGAAGAAGAAUAGUCAUGCAAUAGACAACCAAGCAAAGAACAGGUAUAUCAUUCAUAUCUACACACAAGCUAAACAAGAAAUAGGUAUUUAACAAGAAUAAACAAUAUGUUGAGAUAAACAAGAUAAUAUACAAUAAAGAGAAUCAAUCACACCAAUAUGAAUGAGAUAUACAAAAAUGAGAAUAUACAUGUCAAGGAGAACAAGAUAAUCAUACAACAAGAAGAGUCUUAUGUUAAAGCAAGCAAGAGAAUCAAUCGAUGUAGUCAACAUGUCAAUAUCGCAAAUGAACAUAACAACCAAAUAUGCAUCAUAAAGAAAAAAUGGUAAUCAUGCAGCACACAGUCAUACAAAACAAAUACAAACAAACAUAAGCAAAUAAAUGUAAACACACAUGAUAACAAAAAUCAAUGUAUAGUAAGGCACAUGCAAUAUAUACAUAAAAUAAUCAUCAAGUCAACACUCAUAUACCUUAAAACAUGAAAAUAUACAAUAAAGACACAACGAGAGGGUAUUCACUGAUCGAUUAAUCAAACACUACAUUUCCCUUAACUCAAGUUCAAGUUUGAUCCUUUAAAUAUCCCUAGUGGAGUCGCUAUUUUGUGGACCCACAUUUUUCAAAUGCGUCCUUACACAACAGCGAGACUCAUUUUUUUUAUUUGGUGAAAAUUUGAUUUUGAGAAAAAAGACUUUGAGUUGUCACUUAUUUUUGUUUUUUUUUAAGGGAAAACAAAACAAGAAAGAAAACCUUGUGUGACUCCUUAUUUGGGAAAGACAUGUAUGCAAAAACCAAAUCUGGAUUCGGGGGUCAAGUUACCUAUUGGGAAUGUACGAUGGUGAGCUGUAGCACCUCUCUAAGCUCAUAUACGUACGGUCUCUACUAAACGAAUUAAGAGAAUUGUAGUAAUUAAUUAAUUAGUCAAGGAUACCAAGAAAAAGAAUCGCACAAAUGAGUACAUACAAAUCAUGAUAAAAAAAAUCAAAUUAUAAGAAUAGACAAAAUAAAUAACAAGAGAAUUGUGCAAAGUGAUUUAUUAAACUAAAUAAAAAAGAAGAUAUUAAAAAAAUUAGUUUUCAAGAAAUUUCAAAGGAUUUUAUUAAAAUGAUUUUGAAUUAAUGAUUUUAAUUUAUUUAUUUACAAAAAAAAGUCAAUUUAUUUUCUUCAAUUGAUUUGAUUCAAUUUCAUUUGUAUUCAAUUUUUUUUUUAAAAAAAAAAAGUUAUUUACACUCAUGGUUGUUAAAAGAAUUAUUAACAAAAUUUCAAGUUGACAAUAAAAAUGAUUUUUACUUGCUUUUACUCGAAAACAAUGAAUUUUUACAAUUUUAUUAACAAAAGCAUUUCAAUUUAAGAAAAGUGACUUAAACAAAUUAUUAAAAAAAUAUAACUUUAUCUGCAAAAGAAUUUUUAAUUAAAAAGAAAAAAUUUAAAUCAUCUAUUUCUAAAAAUGACUUUUAAUCCCAUUUUAAUUAAGAAAAUUUGAGUUAUUUAAAAAAACAUUUUUUGGACAAUUUGAAUAAAAAUUAAUUUUUGGGACAACUUUAUUUACAAAAAAAAUUUUGGACAAUUAUUAUUAAAAACAAAAUUUCAAAUUCUAUUAAAAACAAUUUUUUGGAUUUUUCCAAACACAUUUUUAUGAAUUUUUAUUAAUAAAAAACUUUUUUUUAUUAAGAAGAAUAUUUUUUGAGCUAUUAUUUUAUUAAAACAUGUUUAUUGAAUUAUUCUUCUUAUUCAAACAAAAUUUUUAAUUUGUUCAAUAUCUAAUUCUGUACACAACAAGUAAAUAUAUACAAACAAAUAUUUAUAAAAACCAAUAAAAAUAAAACCAAAUAGAAGUGAGAAAUAAAACAUGUUCUUAAACAAGCUUACAACAAGCUCAAUGUCUUCUUACGACUUUUCGAGUCUCACUUUCUUUCAUUAAAUUUUAUGCUCCACGUACCAUAAAUCCGUACUCAACCAAAAAAAUUGCAGAAUUGGCCCAUGCAAAAACAAAAAUAACACAAAUGUAAAUAUCUAAAAAUGAAUAAAGUUCACAAUAGAUAUUCAAGUCCAAAUUCAAAUUUCAAAUUAGUCCAACAAAUUUCGUCAAUCAAAAUAAGUCUAAAUUAGCAAAUAUAGCCCAACAAAAAUAUCUCACAUGUCAUAGGCCUUAAUAUAAAAUUUCCAAAUUAAUAACCAAAAUAUAAGUUCAAUUAAUCAAACCCAAAACAUGAUACAUUAAAAUAAAUCUCAUUAGGCCUAAACUUAAUAUCUCAUAAUUCAAGCCUAAUUUAAUAUAUAAACCUAAAUCCACAAUCAAAAUCAACUCACUUUAUGCUAAUCCCAAUUUAUAAUCAAAAUCAAACAUAAUUUAAUAAGUAAAUAACUAAAUAAAUUAAGCAAACUCAAAACUCUCAAACCACUAUUGCAUAAUAUCAAACAAUAAUAAAUAUAAUGACAACAAUAAUAAUAAUAAAAUAAAAUAAAAAAAUUUAACUCACGUUGGAGCCAGUUUGAGUGUCGUGGGAAAGAAAAAAAAUGAGAGAAAAGUGGGAGAUGAUCGUUAGCUGGUAGUGGCUUGCCGGCGGCGACUGGUCGAUAGUCCUACUGGCGGUAGUGAGGAUUGAUGAGUUUUUGGGAAAGGAAAAAAAAAGAGGAGUAAUAAAAAAAAAAAAAGAGAAAUGAGAGGAAGGUGGGAUAAGAGGGGAGAGAGAGAAUGAAGAAAAUAGGGGAAAAUAAAUGAGGCCGGCCGGAGGAGGAAGUGGUAGUGUGUGUGAGCUAAAGUGAAGAAGAAUGAAAGAAGAAGAAGGAGAAAAAUGGGAAAAAAAUUCGAGCCCUCUAAAUGAAGAAAGGUGAGUAGCUUAAAGAAGAAAAAUAAAAAUAAAAAAAGAAAAAAUGAGGAGAAAAUGAGAGGGCCAGUAGUCUUGGGAAUGGGGUGGUAUAGGUGAGAGAGAGUGGGCGAGGUUGUUGGGGAAGGUAUGGGAGAGAGAGGAGAGAUAAAAGAAAGAGAAAAAAAAACAUAAUAAUAAUAAUAAUCAUAAAUAAUAUAUAAAAUAAUAAAAAUUAAUAUUUAAAUGAUGAGUGUGUCAAAAAUAUUAUAUGUAAUUGGGAUUUAAUUUUAAGAGUAAAAUUGAACUAAAAAUUAAUGUAAAAAUAAAAUUUGAACAAAUUUUAGAAUCUACAAAUACAUUCUUUAAUCUUUCCACAACAUCAAUCUGAUCUAAAUGAAAUGCAAUAAAUUCUAAAAAUGAUACAAUCUUUAAUCAAUCCACAACAUCAACCCGAUCAAAACUCAAUGCAAUAUUGCUUAAUGGAGAGAAUCGUAAAAUCCUUUUAUGAGAGGAAAAAAAAACCCUUAACAGACCUUUAUGAGAGGAAAAUAGGAAAACAUAGAACUAAAAACCCUUAACGUAUUCAUGAGAAUAAAAAAAUCCUUAACACCUUAAUAAGAGGAAAACAAAGAAUUUGAACAAUCCUUAAUCCAUCAAAAGCUCUUAAUAUGAACGAGGGGAAAACAUAACCUUUAUUUUUCAUAUCAUUGAAUACAGAAUCUAAAGAGAUAGAAUUUUUAGUUAUUAAGGAUUUUUUUAUAAAUGUCUAUUGAAAGUUUAAGAACUUUUAUGGAUAAGUGUUAAUUAAGAGACUGAAAGGGUACUUAGGAUUUUCAACUAAAAAAGUUAUAACAAUAUGAAUCGUAAGAACUUAAAAACAUCACCCAUCCAUAAGAGGAAUAUGGAAUGAGAGGUUAUUUUUUUACUUAUACAACAAUAAACUUUUUUGGAAGAGGUUUUUCUAAGUACAAAAAGUUAUGAAUAAAAAACCAUUGUUACGAUGAGUUAACUAAAAUAGAAUUAAUUUAGAAAAUAUCAAUAAAGUUGCAUGAAUUAUUAUCAUGAGUUAACUUAAUAAGAAUAAAUAGUAAUAAAGUUAAUGAAGUGAAUUUGGAUUGGCAGAUAUAUUUGAUGAUAAGAUUUUUUUAAUAAUAAAAAAUUAUUAUGGCAGGAAAAAUAGGACAAAAUUGACCUUAUGAUAAGAUUUUUUUAAUAAUAAAAACAUUAUUAUGGUAUGAAAAAAAGGGACAAAAUUGGCCUUUCCUUAAUUGUACCGGUUAAUGGAAUAAUGGGACAUGCGGUGGUUACAAGCCACCCCAAAAGGUAGGAAGAAUCUCCAACCCCCAUUCUCGGCUCCCUUAUCUUUUCCCUUACAACCAAAAAUCAACAACUAUCUUAGAAUGUCCUUCAGUCCACCAAAAUUCAACAACAACAUUACAAUAAUGAAAACAAAAUUGAUUGAUCACCAGCUAACAUUAGGAGAUUAUAAGAUAAGGAUGUAAUUGCAAUUAUUGAAAUCACUUAAAGAGUAAAAGUUAGGAACAUGCUCACAAUAAAUAAAAUCACCUUAGAAUUAAAAAUUAGGGACAUGAUUAUGAUGAUUAAAAUCACUCGAGAACUAAAAUGUUUUAGAGAUACAAUAAUUGAAAUCAACUGAAAAAUAAAUUCGGGAUGUGAUCGCAAUUAAUGUAUAUAUAAACAACCAAAUGUUGAAAGGAAAAACUAAUGAAAUUAAUAUGAUUUUCUUUUAGAUUUCUCUUGACACCAAACAAAUGUAAGGAAGUUUAUAAAGGAAAAUUAGGUUUUGAUUCACUAAAUUAAAAUAAUAUAGAAAAAAGAUCUUCAAAUUUUAUAUAUCAGUUUUAUUUUUAUUUAUUUAAAAAUAUUUUAAAAUACAUAUAUUUUUUCAUAACUCAAAUAGUCAUUCCUCAAAUGCUAGUUUUACUUGUUAUGUUAAUAACACUAGUUAAUAAUUUUUUAUUGUGAGAACGAUUUAAGAUUAAUAAAAUAAGAAAAUUUUAAAACUAAAAAGACAUUUAAAACUUUAAAAUUAAAAAUAUAAAAAUAAAACAAUAAUUUUUCAUUUAGUAAAACACGCCAGUAGAAAAUAUAGAUAUAGAGAAAGAGUUGGAAAUAAAAUAAGAGUUAAUAUUUUAUUUUUAAAAUUUUAUGUUUUUUAUUUUAAUUGUAUUUAAUUUUAUGUAUUUUAGUUGUAAUUAUAUUUUUAAUUUUUAAAUUUUUUUUUAUUUUAUUGUUGAUGUAAACUAAUAAAUUUUUUGUUCAAUUAUAUAUAUAUAUAUAUAUAUAUAUAUAUAUAUAUAUUUAAAUUAGUGAGUAAAAACCCACUUUUUCUAAUUUAUAAUAUAUUUAUGGGAUUUUAUAAUAUAAGAAAUUUUUUUUUAGAAAGAGGAAAAAUCAACAUUUCAAUUUCCCUUCAUUAUUAUUAUUAUUAUCCAAUUUGGUUGAUUAUGAGAUUAGUUGGUAUCAUUACUAUAUCCAUUUGUCCUUAACCCUUCAUUAGAAUAGUAUUAGGAGUUGAACGUCAGUUGGAAUACAGGCUAUGGAAACAAAUCUAUCCGAUUAGUAGGUUCUUGUUAUUUUCAAUAUAGACCCCAUAAAAUAAAUAGGAGAUAUGAGAUAAGACUGUGACAAAAUUGGCGGUUACUUCCCGACACCUGGCUCUCCACAAACAAACCCAGUGAUCCAGAAAUUAAUUGGUACCUGGACACGUGACUACCAAACGUUCGCUCACCCACCAUACCCAUGGCCUCAUGCCCCAUAUAUUUCCACAAACCUAGCUCAAUUUUCAUAGCCACCUUCACUGUCCUACACUCACUAAGCCAUGGCCAUAGAUACAAGCCUCUUGCUUGAGUUUGCUGCAGCAACUCUACUCUUCUUCAUCACCCGCUUCUUCAUUCGUUCUAUCCUUCCCAAACCUUCCCGGAAGCUCCCCCCUGGCCCCAAAGGGUGGCCGCUCCUCGGCGCUCUUCCUCUCGUAGGUAACAUGCCUCAUGUUGCAUUAGCAAAGAUGGCCAAAAGAUACGGGCCUGUCAUGUUCUUGAAAAUGGGCACUAACAGCAUGGUGGUGGCCUCAACUCCCGAGGCGGCUCGGGCUUUCCUUAAAACGCUAGACAUUAAUUUCUCUAGCCGCCCGCCUAAUGCCGGUGCCACACUCUUGGCCUAUCAUGCCCAAGACAUGGUUUUUGCGGAUUAUGGGGCAAGGUGGAAGCUACUGAGAAAGCUAAGCAACUUACACAUGCUUGGUGGAAGGCUCUUGAGGACUGGUCUCAGGUCCGAGCUGUUGAGCUAGGCCACAUGCUUCGAGCCAUGCUUGAGUUGAGCCAGCGAGCGGAGCCGGUGGUGGUGCCGGAGAUGUUAACUUUUUCCAUGGCCAACAUGAUAGGGCAAGUGAUACUAAGCCGCCGGGUGUUUGAAACAAAAGGGUCGGAGUCAAAUGAGUUCAAGGACAUGGUGGUGGAGCUCAUGACCACUGCUGGGUACUUCAAUAUUGGCGAUUUUAUUCCGUCCAUCGCAUGGCUGGACAUCCAAGGGAUCGAGCGCGGGAUGAAGCAUUUACAUAAGAAGUUCGACAAGUUAUUGACAAGGAUGAUAGAGGAGCACACGGCAUCAGCCCAUGAGCGCAAGGGAAACCCAGAUUUUCUGGACGUAGUCAUGGGCCAUCAAGGAAAUUCUACAGGGGAGAAGCUCACCCUUACCAACAUUAAGGCGCUCCUCCUGGUAUGCAUAGUUAAAGCUUGUCUUUAAUUUUGUUUUCCGAUAUUUUCUUUCCGGAAACAGCACUUUUAUUGCUUUUAUAUCAGGUAGCCAUUUUAGGGGCACAUCACUGUUCUUUAUUUGCAUUUUUUUUUGUCUUUUUUCACUUGCAUGGUUGUUUUCAUAUGCUCAGCUGCAUGGCACAGGAAAAUUGGGAAAAAUGAUUGGUUCUCUGAUCAGACCUUCUGCACCAAAACACACUUCUCUCUAUUUUAUAAAAUCAAGAACAUUUAUGGUUUACAUGAAUUUUCGAACUUGAACUUUUGCUAGGGCUAAUGCAUGGAUCUCAAUUUUCAAUUGCGUUUGAUUACAUAAAUUUCAAGUAUGUCACCACAUUUUUGUUUCCUUGGCUAGAAUUUAUUUACUGCAGGAACAGACACUUCAUCAAGCGUAAUCGAGUGGUCUCUGGCUGAGAUGUUGAAAAACCCGAGCAUCCUCAAGCGUGCUCACGAAGAAAUGGAUCAAGUGAUUGGAAGGAGCCGGCGGCUCGUGGAGUCUGACUUACCAAAACUUCCAUACCUACAAGCCAUAUGCAAGGAAAGCUUCCGGAAGCACCCAUCCACCCCAUUGAACCUUCCUCGUGUCUCAACCCAGGCAUGUGAAGUGAACGGCUACUACAUCCCAAAGAACACUAGACUUAGCGUGAACAUAUGGGCAAUCGGGCGAGACCCUGAUGUCUGGGAAAGCCCGGAAGAAUUCAGGCCAGAAAGGUUUUUAAGUGGAAGAAAUGCAAAAAUUGAUCCUCGUGGAAAUGAUUUUGAGUUGAUCCCGUUUGGGGCUGGACGAAGGAUUUGUGCUGGCACUAGAAUGGGAAUAGUGCUAGUUGAGUACAUUUUGGGGACGUUGGUACACUCAUUUGACUGGAAAAUGCCGGAUGGAGUUGAGAUCAACAUGGACGAAGCUUUCGGGCUUGCUCUGCAGAAGGCAGUUUCUCUUUCGGCUAUGGUGACACCAAGGCUUCACCAGAGUGCGUAUGCAGUCUGAGCUCAAGCUGUUCAGACCAAAACCCAGGCCUAGCUACUAUAUGGCAUGGAUUUGUUUCAGUUUCCUUUGGGUUAGUAUAACGGUAUAAGAUGUAUUAGCUCAAAGAUUGGGAGUUUCAUUCUACCACCAUGCCAUAUGCCUAUCCGUGAUCUAUAAAUUUAGCUUCAGUUUGGUUAUAGUUUCUAUUUUUCUUUUGUCUUCGUAAUCAGUAAAUAAUAGUAACCUUUAUAUAAAAUAUAGUAACUCUUGCAGCUAUUAUACCAUGUACAAUAAAAGUACAGUGGUUUUGGAAAAUACAAUGAAACAGUGAGUUUGAUUUUUUAUUUUUUAUUUUUUAAUAAAAUAAAAUGUUGGAAAAGAGAAGUAAAUAAAGGAAGAUAUAUUAAGAGUCUAUUUGACAUUACUUAUAAUGAAAGUGUUUUUAUUAUAAGUGUUUUCUUUAUUAUAAGUGUUUAAAAAUCACUUUGAUGAGAAUUUAAAAAAAUGAUUCUAAUAGUGUUUUUAAUAAUAUAUUAUAUAAGUAAAAACCACUUUUAAUAAUAAUAAAUUACUAUAAAAAAAAAGACAUUUAUUAUAAAAAGAAAAUAUUAUAAUAAACCAAAAACUUUUAUUAAAAAAAAUAUAUACAAAUAUUUAAUUGUUAAAAAAACUCAAAAAUUAUUUUUAUGAAAAUGAAGUGAAAGAGGAAGAGGAGAGUAAGAAGAAAAAAGAGAGUUAAAAGGAAAUGGAGGAUAGCGAGAAAUUUUAUUUUAGGAAUAUAUAAAAAAAAUUUGAAAUAUUUUUUUAAAGAAACACCUCUCAAGUGCUUUUCUAAAAAAACACUUCAAGUGCUUUUCUAAAAAAACACUUCAAGUGUUUUUUAAAAUUUUCAUAAGUGUUGUUCAAAAUAUUGUCAAACACAUAUUUUUUUUAUCUUAAAAAAGCAUUUAAGUGUUUUUAGGGCUAAAAGCACUUCUAAAAAGCAUUGCCAAACGAGCUCUAAAUAAUUCAUAUUUCCUUGAAUUUAUAUUUUUAUUUUCUCUCUAUGAAUUUUCCUUUAUUUCAAAUACAAAAUAUAUUUUAAAAGGUUAAUUUUAUUUACUUGUCUUAAGGUUUUUGUUAGAUACACUUAAUUAUCAUUUAUUUGAAAUUUCAUUAAUUAUCUUUCUUAUCCUUUCCGUUUCUUAAUUUGUCAUGUACUUGAGAAAGUCAAUUUCAUUAUCAUCUUUACUUCUUGAACCUUGACUUAAAACUCCAACUUCACACAGGAUAUGAUAUAAAUUAAGAAAAGACUUAUUAAAAGUAGUAACGUUCUACUUUAGUUUAAAAAUGUUAACAAAAAUUAGAGGAGAAUUAACUAAAAUAUACUGAAUUUUAAAUCAAGCUAACAUAUUAUAAACCAUUGGAAAACCCACGUGAUUAAAUAGCUUUCUUGUAGUCUGACAAAGGAAAGAAAUUACCUGAAAAGAAUGGCAAAAAUGGAACUGCAUCUUAUGACCUAUAAUCACAUGAUUUCCACACUUAGAGCAUCCAUUGCCAAGAAAGACGUCGAUCAUAUCACCUUAAUUUUGUAAUAAUUCAAUGCCUCUUUUUGUAAAGCCAUAUCAUAAAUAUAAUGAAAUUAAAAGACAAAUUAAUCAAUCAAAUAAUAAAAUUUUGAAAUUUACAUGGUAGUAGGUGAGGGAAUUGUUCAGUUAAGAAUGAAGAGAGACCACACUCGAGGAAAUAUUAUUGAGGGCAUAGAUGUUGACUUUCCAUAUUCACACCUAAUUAAAAAGGUGAUUAAGAAAAUAAACAAAAACAACCCAAAAAGAGUGAAAGAUAUAUUGUUAGGAAAGAUUGUUCAAAAUGAUCCCGAGUUAUAAAAAUGAACUCUUUCAUUAAGAUGACCUUUUUGAAUACUUUUAUCCUUCUUUUUUUUUUUUCUUGCCUUCAAAAUUAUAAAUCUUUCCUUUAUUUAUGUUAUUUUAUUUACUUUAUUAUUUUUCUAAUUUUUCAUUUAUUUCUUCUACUUACUUUUUCUCUUCUAUGAAGUCUUUCAUCUUUAGUUUAGUCAUGUCUUAUGAAGCUAAUUGUAUUUCCCUCCUUAGCUUACUCUCUAAGUUGUUAGUAAUCCUUGAUCUCAUCUCAUAAUGCACUAUCCCACGAUUCUUUCUUGCAGUCCAUUUUUAUUUUCAUUCAAGGUGUUCAUUAAAAGUACACAAGGGCUAAAUUUAAAUUAUAAGAGUUAAUUUCAAUUACAUUCCCUCAAGUUUUGGCUUAGAUACGCCUUACUUCAACUUAUUUGAAAUUUCAUCAAUUAUCUCUUUUAUUUUAAGUGAAAGGGGAGGUGAGUAUAAUUAAUAAAUGAAAAGGUAGGGGAUAUAUUUGAAGAAAUUUCAAAUUAAUGGGCGAAGGUGUAUUUAGCUUAAAUAUCAGGGAAAGCGAAUUAAAUUAAUCUUAUAAAAAACUUAAUUGAGAUUAAAUUCUCGUUAAGUAUCGUUACUUAAUCUAUCAUGAGAUUAAGUUCAAAAUCAUAAUAUAUAGUGAUGAGAUCUCAAACUUCAUAUCUUAACACAGUCAAUUGAACUUAUCUUGAUGAGUUUGAAGUCUCAAAAUUGUUUUGAGAUCCCUAACUAAAAAUAAUUGCUAAGGCCCUUAAUUUUUUUAUUAAAAUGUCUGUGAGCUUGAUUGAGAUCAAUUUGGAUUACUUUUAGAGAUUCUAGAGGAAUUUAGAAGAAUAUAUAAAGGAAAAAACUUAGGGAAGAUGAAAAGUGCUAGUUAGAGCAGCCUUCUAUUGCACCAGAAGAAGUGGGCGCACCCUUCUACUAUGUCAAAAGGACUUGACGCAUCUGUAUAAGUACGCUAGGAAGGAAAAUAAAGCAACAAGCCGGCCUUUGACUUGAGAAUUGGAGAACCCUCUCCCAGACUUAAGUGGCACACCUUUUAAGUGCGCCAAGGAAAAGAAAGAGUUGUGGCUCAACCCCAUCAAGGAUUGAUAGGCAUACUCCGUCCACUAAAGAUUAAAUGUGUUAGCACAUCUCUUAUCUCUCUCCAUGAACAAAUGGUGCAUUUAAUUAUACAUACACUGUAAGCAUUGGGCUGCCUAUCCGAUGGUGCAAUUCAAAAGCUGUGGCAUGUUUGGUCAACGUAUGAGAAGCAUCCUCUUGCAUCCAACAAUCUUGCAUGGGUGGGGCACACCCAACCUAAGUGUUCUCGAAGUUUGGAUGGUGUUGGAGCUGUUCUUUCCAAACUUCCAGCUUCUUCUUGUCUCACGUUCACCUGCAAUGCAAGGUUUACCCGGUGAAGCCCCGGGCAGACCCCUCCGAUGGUUAAGUCUGUUGGAGUGUGAGAAGCCAACUUCUUUUUAAUUUUUCUUCUUAGCUGUGUUCUUAUACAUCUCUUCACUUACCGCCGGGACCGGAGAUAAUGGGGGCAUUUUCACCACAUCACUGCCCACUUCGCCACCUUCUCAUGGCAGCAAGCUUUUUGGGCUAACCGCUCCCACCAUUUUUGGCGGCUAGCCCCUUCAACACCUUUCACAUUACUUACCAUAUUUCUUUCUGGGCCAGAGACUCUGUCUAGUCCUCCAAAUUCACCUCUUAAUUUUAAAUGCUUGGGCCCAGGCCCAUUGGUCCAAAUUCGGCUCUUAAUUUUUAUCCCUUGGAGGAGUGUUUUUAGUUUUUCUUCUUGAAAUACUUUGCAGGUACAAAACUGUAUGAGCUUUUUGUUCAUGGAGUUCUAUGGGAUUCUUCGAAAAUGAAUGAAAUUCAAUUUUAAAAGAAGUCUUUUGUUUCUUUGCUUGAGUAAUUUUUUACCUUAAGUUUAAUUUCCCUCGCAUGUUCUAUCCAUGAAGCACUAAUUCACUUUACUGUUGUGGGUUGAAAGGGGUUGUAUCCCUUGCAACUCAAUUUAGUCCUCAAUGGUUUCAAAGGGUAGCGGAUAGGGAGGUGAAGUUCAUGAUUGCAGCAAAUGCAUGCAUGUUGUAGCAUUCUGAGAGCCCUAAGCUAAGCAACUCCAUGAGCAUGUUUGUACCUUAUAUAUUUAGCUUUCACUUCCCUUUGAGGUUGAAAAUACUAGGUGUUACACGGAAAAACGAAAAUAGGCAAUAAGAAAAUAUGAAUAAUUUAUGUGAAAAAUCCUAAACAAAAAAACUAAGGAUAAAGAAAAUCCACUAAAUUAAAAAUUGGUACAAAAACAGAAAGAAUCCAACGACUAUUGUAUAAUCCUAAAUCCUAUACACUAUCGCAUAUAUAUAUGAGAAAAAAUAAAUAAAGCAGGUCCAUAUCGUAGGGGCAAUCCUCUGCACCCACAACAAAAUCAAUAAUGGGUUAAAGUAUAAUUUUUCUUCACCAUAUAUAUCAUACCACAAAUUUUUCAAGUCAAACCAAAAAACAAUUCAUAUCAUCAAGCUCUAACAUUAAAAAAAGAUGAAAACAAAUCUUUGUAUUAUGGUUAUGGGAGUAACUUUAAACCUUAAAAUUCUCAUUCAAGCUUUUCCAAAUGAAAUAUAUUAAUAUUAAGUUUUAUUUAAAUAAUCUAUUUUUCCGCAGAUAUAACGAUGAGUUGAAAUUUAGACUUAUUUAAUUUGUUUAUGUCAAACAUUCAAAUCUAAAAUACAUAUAACAAAAGAUCAUGGGAAUUUAUAAUAUAAACAAUUUUUAUGCAAAGGGCCAAUUGUAAAUAAUAGAAUACUAUUUUCAAAAGAGAUCCAAAUCAAGUCGUUGUUUUUAAUAAAUAAAUAAAUAAAAUUUUUGUUUCAUUUGGAAGAUGGUGUUAAAGAGCGACUGAAUCAAAUAACUUGCUCAACCGGCAAAGCUGAGCUGGUCAACUUGACUCGCUUAUAUAUAUACGUAAUUGGGGAAAAAAUGUCAGAUGAGGGGGCGGAUUAGGUCACUUGGGGGGUGCCGGGUGUAGAUGGAAGAAAGAAGUACGUAUAUAAUAAUAAUAAUUGGAGGGUUGACGUUGUCUUGAGAGCAACCGAUGAUGAUAACCCAUGCAGUAUUUUUGUCAUGGGAGAAUUAGGGUGGGGGUGGCCGUAAAAAAUAAUGACUAUGAAGCUCACUAUUUUAAAGGAAAGUUUUACUUUUAAAUAUAUUCUUUAUAUUAUUUAUAAAUAAAUUAAGAUUGUCAAUGAUGUGGGUCCAUAUAUGAUGAUAAGUACAAGUUGAUAAAUUAUGUGGGGCUCAUAUAUGAUAAUAAGUACAGGUUGAUAAACAAUCAACGGUACAUUUCUCAGCUUGAAAAAAUUGUUGUCACUUUUGAACAAUUGACGGUUUAAAAAUUUACUAUUUUUUUUUCAAAAAAAAUUAAGAUUUUUUAAAGAACCUUGCAAAAAAAAUAAUUUUUAAUAUCUCAUAAAUAAAAAUCAUAUCCUAAAGUUAUUAUGUCGUUUUAUAUAUAAAACAUACAAUUAAAAACUUUGUUAUCAUAAUAUAAUGAAUAAUUAUUUUUUAAGAGCACUCAUCAAUUGAAUAACAUAUAAAUAUUCAAUUGACUAAUACACACCUAUUAAAUGAAAUAACUCACAAUUAUUCAUGGGGUAAUAUAGCACGUGAAAAAAUUAAAUAAAAAUAAAUUAAAUUAUGUUGUAAUAUAUUGUAAUGAUAGUGUAUUUAUAUUGUAAGUAUAAUGCAUUUAUAUCGUACCUAUAUUUAAUUAAAAAAGUAAUAAUUCUAAAAAUGUUUAUUCAUACCCUAUUGGUAUUAACACAUCGUAUUAAUAUAUUAACAACAUUUAUUUAGUGUCUUGAAAUUAUUUAAUAAUUUUUUUAUAUAUAUAAACUACGUGAAUUCAAAUUAGUAUUUCAUUUGAUUUCAAAAAUUAUUUAUGAUAUAGGUAUGUUGUGAAAUAUGGUAUAAUCAUAUAAAAUUACAAUUUUAAUAAAAAAUUUCAUAAAUUUUUUAAUUAGGUUUUAUUGUAAUGUAAGUGUAUUUAUAUUGUAAUUAUAACAUAUUUUUGUUGUACUUGUAUUUUAUAAUAAAAGUAAUAAUCUUGAGGAUCAUCUUUUAUACCUUAUUAAUAUUCAACAUAUCAAAUAUAUUAACAUUAUUCACUCGAUGCAUUGAGAAAAACAAAUUUAUAUGAAAUUUAUAAAAAAAAAACACUAUGCAAAGGAAAAAAAAUCAUAUAAAUUUUUUAAAAUUAUUUUAUUAUAAAAAUAAAAAAUGAUUAAACAUUCUCUACCAUUUUCUUAUUCUUUUUAGAGAAUUUGAAUGAAAAAUUAAACAUUUUAUCUUCCUUAAAUUUAAUACAAAAAUAUAAUUUAUCAAUUUAAAAUUAUAAUAUAUAUAUAUAUAUAUAUAUAUAUAUAUAUAUAUAUAUAUAUAUAUAUAUAUAUAUAUAUAUAUAUAUAUAUAUAUGAAAAAAUCAUCAUUUUUAUUAUAUAAUUAUAAAACUUAUUUUAAAAAUUAGAAUAAACAUAAAAAAAAAGGUAAAAAAACAAUAAAUGAUAUUUUGAAAAUAAUUUUUAAAAGUAUUUUUGUUUUAAAUAGUAAAUUUAAAUAACAAAUUAUAUAUAAUUGUAAGAGUUAAACCCAAAAUUUUGAUUUAAAAUUUAAAUAUUAUUAAUUACAAUAAAUAUAGGACCCAUAUACCAUAAAUGUAUUGACAAAUCAAGUGAAGUGCUUUAAAUGCUUUGAAUUUUAAAAGUUUUAGCUAAAGGACAAUUUUGGUAUAUUAAGCCUAUUAAAAUCCUUCUCAAGAAUUAUUAAAAUAUAUCACCCUUUCUAAUAAUUGUUCUGCCUAACCUAUUUUUAGGUAAUUCUCCCUUUUUUUCAUUCUCAUCCAUCUUCACGGGACUUCGUCUACCAAAUAUGACAAAUAUUAUAUUGUUAUAUUGAAUAUAUGUACUAAAAAAUAGAAAUGGGAUGAUGCACAUGGCCUGACGUGUACGUUAUUAAUUUGUUUUUGUCUACGUUUGUUUGUUUGUUUUCGUUUUUCUGUUUAUAUACGUAAAGUCAUUUUUUUCCUCUUCAUGGAAUUCUUUUUGAUGAAAAAAUUAGAGGAAAAAACACAGAUUUAACGAUAAAUUAUCCAUGUUCAUGACAAUAAGAAAAAAGAGUUUCACUAUAUAUAAAAUUAGGAUUACAUUAAAAGGUAUUUAUAUUAAUUAAAAAUAUGAUAUUAAUCAUAAUAUUUAUAAUAGACAUAUCAUAUCAAAUAAAUUAUCCAAUUUUUUAUUAUAUUAAUAGAUAAAUUGAAGUUUUUAUGGUAAAUUUAGAUUAUUUGAUAUCACAAAUAUUAUAACGUUUAAAAAUUAAUUUUAAUAACUAAGUUGUGUUUGGUUUAAAAACCAAUUUUUAGUUUUCAUUUUCCAUUUUCAUUUAUGUUUUUUCUUUUCUUAAAAAUAUCUUUGAUUAAGAAAAGUAAAAGUAGUAUUUUAAAAAAGUAAACUUAUAAAAUCUUGUUUGAUUUUAAGCUUUCGUGAAUGUAAAAACUUGUGAAAAAGUAAGCAUUGUUGUUAGUACUCUUAAAUAUUAAUUAAAUAUGACUAAGUGGAUGAUGUCUAUAUCACUUCUCCUGCCAUCGUCACCCAGUGCUCCAGAAAGAAACUGGAAUCUGGACGCGUGAUUAACAACUUCGCUGAUCGCCUACCAUUCCCAUGGCCUCAUGCCUUAUAUAUUUCCACAAACCUAGCUCAAUUUUCAUAUCCACCUUCACUGUCCUAUACUCACAAGCCAUGGCCAUAGAUACAAGCCUCUUGCCUGAGCUUGCUGCAGCAACUCUUCUCUUCUUCAUCACCCGCUUCUUCAUUCGUUCUCUCUUUCCCAAACCUUCCCGGAAGCUCCCUCCUGGCCCCAGAGGGUGGCCGCUCCUCGGCGCUCUUCCUCUUCUAGGUAACAUGCCUCAUGUUGCACUAGCAAAGAUGGCCAAAAGAUACGGACCUGUCAUGUUCUUGAAAAUGGGCACUAACAGCAUGGUGGUGGCCUCAACUCCGGAGGCAGCUCGGGCUUUCCUUAAAACCCUAGACAUUAAUUUCUCGAACCGCCCGCCUAAUGCCGGUGCAACACACUUGGCCUAUGAUGCCCAAGACAUGGUUUUUGCGGAUUAUGGGGCAAGGUGGAAGCUCCUGAGAAAGCUAAGCAACUUACACAUGCUUGGUGGGAAGGCUCUUGAGGACUGGUCUCAGGUUCGAACUGUUGAGCUAGGUCACAUGCUUCGAGCCAUGCUUGAGUUGAGCCAGCGAGAGGAGCCGGUGGUGGUGCCGGAGAUGUUAUCUUUUUCCGUGGCCAACAUGAUAGGGCAAGUGAUACUAAGCCGCCGGGUGUUUGAAACAAAAGGGUCGGAGUCAAAUGAGUUCAAGGACAUGGUGGUGGAGCUCAUGACCACUGCUGGGUACUUCAAUAUUGGCGAUUUUAUUCCGUCCAUCGCAUGGCUGGACAUCCAAGGGAUCGAGCGCGGGAUGAAGCAUUUACAUAAGAAGUUCGACAAGUUAUUGACAAGGAUGAUAGAGGAGCACACGGCAUCAGCCCAUGAGCGCAAGGGAAACCCAGAUUUUCUGGACGUAGUCAUGGGCCAUCAAGGAAAUUCUACAGGGGAGAAGCUCACCCUUACCAACAUUAAGGCGCUCCUCCUGGUAUGCAUAGUUAAAGCUCGUCUUUAAUUUUGUUUUUCGAUAUUUCCUUUCCGGAAACAGCACUUUUAUUGUUUUCCGGAAACAGCCAUUUUAGGGGCACAUCACUGUUCUUUAUUUGGAUUUUUUUUUUGUCUUUUUCCACUUGCAUGGUUGUUUUCAUAUGCUCAGCUGCAUGGCACAGGAAAAUUGGGAAAAAUGAUUGGUUCUCUGAUCAGACCUUCUGCACCAAAACACACUUCUCUCUAUUUUAUAAAAUCAAGAACAUUUAUGGUUUACAUGAUUUUUCGAACUUGAACUUUUGCUAGGGCUAAUGCAUGGAUCUCAAUUUUCAAUUGCGUUUGAUUACAUAAAUUUCAAGUAUGUCACCAUAUUUUUGUUUCCUUGGCUAGAAUUUAUUUACUGCAGGAACAGACACUUCAUCAAGCGUAAUCGAGUGGUCUCUGGCUGAGAUGUUGAAAAACCCGAGCAUCCUCAAGCGUGCUCACGAAGAAAUGGAUCAAGUGAUUGGAAGGAGCCGGCGGCUCGUGGAGUCUGACUUACAAAAACUUCCAUACCUACAAGCCAUAUGCAAGGAAAGCUUCCGGAAGCACCCAUCCACCCCAUUGAAC